rnacentral:lncRNA from 1 species
CGCCUCAGUUUCCAUUUGGAUCCUUACAGUGAUGUGGCUGCGGCACCUGGAAUCCCACACGUCUCGUCUUUUAUGUGUUUCACAUUGGGUACUAAUAUUGUUCCGAAUAUUCUGUUCUUUCAACUAGGCUUUAAGGUGCUUAGAGUAUUAGACAUAUUCUUUCUGCAUUUUGAUUACUUCCCUGCCCGAAUACUAAAACUGAUUCAUUUGAGGUAUCUUGCGCUGAGUGCUACUUAUGAGCUUCCUGCAUCAGUAUCACAACUAAGGAAUCUCCAAACGUUGGUGAUUCAUGGUCCAUGGCACUGCCGGGAGUCUGGCAGUAGCCCAACAUUGUUACUGGAGUAUUGGAGUAUGCCUUCAUUGAGGCAUCUCCAGUGUAGCGUGACGAUUUAUUUGAAGAAUCCUCCUGGAGGAGCUAAUAGUGAACUCCCUCAGCUAUUUGUUCCAAAAAACCUACAAACUCUCUCUACCAUCAAAUUUUCAUCUGCAUGAAGGAAGUUUUCAGUGUCAUGCCCCAUCUCAAGAAACUUGAAAUUUGUGAGACAGAAGAAGACUGCUGCGGCAUAUGUGAGCCAUCUGUAUUACUUAGGAAUCUGCAGUACUUGAAAGAGCUUGAAACACUUGAGUGCUGCUUCUACAAACAAAGAGUAGAAGUGCGGCAAAUAUCAUUUUUUUCUGCCCUGCCAUGUUCUCUUAGGCAAUUGAGUUUAAGUUGGAGUUAUUUGCCAUGGGAAGACACGAGCUUGAUUGGCAUGUUACCCAGACUUGAGGUGCUCAAACUCAAACAUUUUGCUUUCCGUGGACCUAAAUGGGAGCCAAAGGCUAAAGGUUUUUGUCGUCUGACACACUUGCUGAUUGAGAACACUGAUUUGGUCCAUUGGGAAGCUACAGUUCAUCACUUCCCACGCCUUCAAUAUCUAGUUCUGAAGUCUUGCAAGCUCUUGGAGGAGAUCCCUUUUGAUGCGGAGGAAAUUGGUACCCUGCAGCGAAUUGAGCUGCAUCACUGUAACAGAACUACCGAGAUAUUAGCUAGAGAAAUUCAAGAACAGGUUGAAGGCAUCGAAGUUGUUAUUAGAAGUGAGCGGUAAGUGAAAAUUCUCGUCUAAUUUCCGAUGAACAUCGGUGCAAAAUCGAUGCAAUUUCAUUUGAGUAGCGUUGUGUUGUCUUUCCCUGCACCUGUUGUUGUUGAUUGAUAUAUUGUUAUACGUCUUCGAUUGGUUUAUGAAGCUACUUAUUUCCUUCUGAUGUCUGUGACAGGAAUCCAGACCGUGCAUAAGAAGAAAAUUCAGUUCCUCUUUUGAGGUGGACUUCCCACUCCAUCUCAACUUCUCUGCUGCUCUUUUCUCCUCUACAAGCCAUUGUGUAAGCAUUUAACCAUGCAUUGAAUGCGCAGUCUCUGAUUAAUUUAUGUGCAUGGGGAAAUUUAGAAUUGUAUAUGAUCUUGGUCAGCAGCUGACAAAUUGCUUCCAUUCUUCAUUAUGUUGAUGCCUUUUUUUUUUCUUUCAGUAUUACUACGUUUGCGUCUCUCAACUUAUCAAUUUUACUGAGAAGAAACUAGUUUCAUUAUUGUUAUCAUGGAUGAUAUGAGGUCCUUUCACAAUAUAUUUGCUUGAUGAUCUUCUUGUGCAUGCUCUUGUGCUUUGAAAUGAUAAUCGUGCAUGUGUUCGUCCGAUUUUUGGUCACCGAUGAACCAAGGUUGCUCAUGUUACUUCAACACCAUGAUACGGUGCCGAUUGAAUAUUGGCUGGGUGUAUGUUAUCAGUCCAGUACCAGGAAAUUGGAAGGUUUAUAGUUUUCUGCAUAGUUCCAGAAAAUAAAUUUGCUUUGGAAAUUCAAUGCGAAAAUAUCCUUCUUGUCUUAGAUAGCAAAUUGACCAGUUAGGGAACUUCUAACUCAUUUAAUAUUGGUUAGGAGCUAGGAGCUUCCAUAACUAAGACACCUUUCUAUUCCCCAAGAGCAGCUUCCCAAAAUAAAUGGCUGCAAUAUACGAAUAAAGUAGCAAACCUAGCCAAUGUAAGAUUUGUGGGUUGUAGAUGGAAAAUUAUCAGUUUCCGUUGGCACGUCUCAUCAUCUGAUGAAAUAUUGAUAGUCUUGCACUUGAAGUUCUCACACCCGCAACUAUUUCUAAGAUUCUAACAUACUACACGAAGUUGGGAAUCUCUUGUGAGUGGUAUGGAAAAGUGUACUGUGGUUUUGGGAAGCAAUGGCUGAAUAUGGGAUAUGAAAGAAAAGCCCUGCUUUUGCUAUUGGAGGAGUAUUAGAAACUGCUAUCUCUGAGACAUUUUCGUAUCACCUCAGCCAAAAAUUUAAGGAUUCCUACCAUUUUUGUGAGCCGGUUCCUUGGCUCUGAGAAACCUGGACAAGAUCACAUCUCAGAGAAUCAUUUCGGUCUUCCAGGAUCUUGAUUAGUAGUUGCUCCCGAAGUUUCAUUCCAUCAUUUGAUAUCUUACUAGGAGGUAUAAAACGCGCGAUGCGCGUAGGCAACUAAAGAUAAUAUGCCCUGCCAAAUAUGCAGAUUAAGGGAGUGAUUGAAUUUUGGUGCAUUCUUCUUUUAUCCAACAUUGCAUGCAAAUUCUUUUUUGUUUUUUUUUUGUAUAUCAGUAUGAAUAUGCAUGGCACUUGACAGAGGGAAAAAUAUCAUUGAGCUAUAUAGAUUAAUGUUGAUAAUCCAAAAGUCCAUUAAACUUCAAGGCAAUGCAAAGACUUCAAAUCCAUUGCAUUACAUGAAUUUGGCAACGAUGAUGACAAUGUACCUGGCUGCUACACUGGAUAGUAAAAUCACAACCUAUAAAGCGAGAUAUUCUCUACUUUUUUAGAAAACCUAAUAACUUGCAGGUUGAAGCUUUGUAAGUUGAUGCUAUAUCUUUUUUGGAUUCAUCACCCGUGGCUUCUAUGUAAUUUCACAAAGUAAUUGAAAGCAACUAAAACUUAUCCAUUGCUGCAGAAAUAGUUGUAGCAAAGUCGGAUAAAUUCCUCAAGAAGAUACUACUGGAGAAAACGGGGAAUAACCUUACAUUGCAUUUCAACAGAAGCAUUAAAACAUGGAAGAUUACUGAUACAGUAAAAUGCCAGAAUACUGAUACAUUACUGAAAUGUGCCAGAUUAAUAAUGGCCUAAUUGAGCUGAAGAUGAAAAUUAAAAUGCCAUGGAUACAUUUUUUCGAUGACUUUUCGAUUGAAUACAACAACAGCAAAGGAUGGUCAGCCCAAAGAUUGGUAACUGCUCUUCGAAUGCAUUAACUUGAGUAGAUAUCACAAUGUAAAAUAUUCAUGCGAUUACAAUCUUUGAUUCAUUAAUUCGACCAAAAAAGGAAGAAAAAGCAAAGGACCUAACAGUCCUGUUCAUAACAGAAUUGGAACUUAAAAGUAAAUGAUAUACGACAAAAUAUCCUACUACAGAAAAUUUUGACCAAAAGAGACAACACUCAGAUAAUUUUUCAUCAGAGAUACUGCAGUAGUUUACAACAACAAAGACAGACAUGGAUCUAGAUAGCCUAGCAUCCCAGCCCAUCAGUAACUCAAAACAAUAUCGAAUUGUAACUGAAAAUGGCAAAUCUCAUGUAACUAAAGUGGGGUAACAAGCAACUGCUAGUAUGAUUAAACAAAAGAAUUAGUUGCAAAAUUGAAUUUCUGGCUACAGUGUACAAUUUACUGUUUAAGUUUAGCGUACACUAUAUAGAAAAUGAUAAAGCUUCUUGAAAUGCGACAUAAGAGAAAGCAUCACUUAGAAACAAUAUUUGGCAGUAGUUCUGCAAUUUUACCAUGAUCAAUACAAAAGUAUGGAGAAACAAACCUAAGAGACUUAUUUAAAUAUGCAAGAAUAACAAAAGACAAAUCCUGAAACAGCUACAGCUGAUGGAUUUACACACUUUUGUGAACGCAAAGGGCAUAACAUUCUAUCUGGAGGCAGUGGAAUUCCCUCCUUUGCAACCUGUUUCAAAAUGAAGCAAUAAUCUGUGUGUGAAUAUCAAAUGGCUAUAGAAACACAAAGUUCAUAAAGUCCUUUAUAUUUUUUAAUCCCUAUCCUUUUCUUUCAUUUUUUUUUCAAUUUGUGUAAGAAACCUAACCAUUAUAACAUCUCUGUACCUAUGGUUCUUAUUUUUUUUUUCAUUUAUUACCAUCAAUGGUGCCCCCAUGCAAAAUUUUCCCAAGACCUGGCAAGGGUGAGCCAUAUGUCUCAGAUAGGAAUAACUCAACUAUGGAAACUAUUCAUAUGAAACAUAACAAUUACCACGACUUUCUCACAAGUCAUAAAAGAAUAUCCUAUAUGCAAAAAAAAUAUACAAAAGAAUAUCCUACAUGCAAGAAAAUAUAAUCUUAACAAGCUACCAACCAUUCACGGAACUUCCUACACAAUAAAAGAAAAUAACCUCACCUUUGGGGGAGGAGAAGGCGGUGGCGGGGGAUACACUGUUGGAGCAGACAUUCUCUCCUCAGCAGAUUGGUGCCACCCUUCCAUCAUCUGACAUGCACAUCAAUAAUGAAAAGUUAUGAAUUUUAUCAAUUAUCUUGUGUGGAUGUCUGUGUUUCUUUGAGUGAGAGAGAAAGAGAGAGAGUACAUGACAACAAUGAAAAAGAAAAUACAACUAAUUAGGUGCAUGAUUCAACAUGAUCAAGUCUGAAACAAACAGAGUUUUUAAUAGAAUGAAAAACAGUCCCCAGAUGAAGGGGACUUUAAAAUAAAUAAAGAAGAAGAUGAAACCAAUAGAAAAAUCAAAUGAACCAAUGAUGAUAAGACAAUGACAUGAAGAUAAAGAAAGAAUCAAAUAAAGCUGCUAAUGUACGAUUUGACAUAAUCUUGGUGAAGUGCUCUUACUUUAAAGAAAAAAUACUGUAGCAAUCAAACCAGUUCGUGCAUAGUCAAGAACUGCAUACAUACUGCUUAGAAGUGCGCCUUGUACUGCCUGAAUGCAAAUAGCCAAGUUAUUGAUCAUAGAACCUUCAAAAUAGUCAUUGAAUUUAUAGUUUCAAAAAAAUGACAACCACUAGAAUCUUAGAGCCAAAUUUGUUGAGGUUCAGCAAUAUGAUAGAUAACAUGGUAGGCAUCUAUAUGCACAAUGCUUGAAUAAACAUGGUAACUGCUCCAUGUAAUCUCGGACUAUUAUCAAUAUCCGAAAUAUCAGCAUAAAGCCAUUAAGAAAUAUGGAAUCACAUAUCUUCAGCCAAGGGGGGCCAUGGAGUCUCUCACGUUUGCGGCUCCUGAUUUUAGAAAUUCUUGAAGAUGUAUCUAUCUACCUUGACAAAAGAAAGUGCCCAUGCUCAAAGAAAUGGAAGGAAAUAAGUAGAAAUAUAACUGAAAUCAAUCCAUAAUAAAUGCACUGCUAGGUCCUAAAGAAAGGUUUAAAGAUGGCUCAACUAAUUCAACUAACAACUACAAGUAUGUCUAAGAGUGGUUUGAUUGAACAAAUAAACACUUUCUCCAUUUUGAAAACAAAUUUUCUUACUUGAUCUUUUCCAUCAUAACUGAAAUCAGUCUAUCAUAAAUCCACUGCUAGGUCCUAAAGAAAGGUUUAAAGAUGGCUCAACUAAUUCAACUAACAACUACAAGUAUGUCUAAGAGUGGUUUGAUUGAAUAAAUAAACAUUUUCUCCAUUUUAAAUACAAAUUUUCCACUUGACCUUUUCCUCAAACUACCAGCUCUAUGGAGAAAAUUAUAAGACUUAUAUGAAAAUGCACCUAGUCAAGUGUUAGUUUGAUAGUUAAAGUACACAUAGAAACAAAAAUUUUACAGUAAGCAACAUUAAUGGUUUGAAAAUAUGCAUGAAUUUCCAUGCAAGAUCCUAUAUAAGUAUAAAUUACCAAGUUGUAAAUUGAUAUAGACAGCAAAGAUAGUCCACAGACAAGAAGGAUGACGGUAGAUCUAAUAGAUUGGUCCACAUGACACAUACCUAGAAAAAGUACCAACUCCUGGCUUUAGCUGGACAAACAUGAAUUCCAAGAGCGUGUAAUCUCAAAAAGUAGAACCCAGUAGCAUCUGGUAGAAUAUAAAAGCUGAUAAGCAAAGGACAAUCCUGCAAAAAAAGGAUCCCAAUGGAUUUGGUUGUGAGUUUGGUGGCUGUCUUGGCACCCCAGGCUUUCCAACAUUAUCGUACAUUUCUGUAAAAUCCCAAGAUUAAGAAUAUUUUUCUUCCCUGUUUAACCAAACCAGGAAAACAAUGGCAGAAAGAAAUGCACACAAAAAGCUAAAGAAGAAAAAUAAACCAGCGACCACAAGCAUGAGCAUUCAAAAACUUAGCAAAUCAAAAAAUCAAAAGCAUACAGGAAUUGCAAGAGACACAGACCAAAAAAAAACUUCUUUACAGAUCAAGAGGGAAAAAACAGAUCUAACCCAAAAAAAAAUCCACCACCACCAAGUGAAUGAAAAUAAAAGUCAUAAUUUGUCUCAUAAGACCUGAUGUUCUCUAUGUUGACAGAAAAAUAGAAGCAAAAUUAGAUAAAUAAGAUUAAUGGAAUACAUAAGUUUCCAAUUUUUUAGGAAAAUUGUAGAGGGACAAAACUUCUUUCUUCUUGUAACUAAAUCAAAAAGAUACUCACAGAACGAAAAGCUUCAAAGCUAAAUAAAGAAAAGCAAAACCCACAAAAAUACAAAAAAACAGAACAUAAAAGAUGUUUGCUCCAAGGAAUGAAAGUUCAAGCAUCAUUUGCACUUGGUAUGAAAAAUUAUUAUUCUAAUCUUUACAAAUUGUAGCCUCACAUAUGGUCUGAUGCAAAACUUAUUCUUUCCAAAAUUGACUUAUGAUCUGAAUGCAAAACUUAUUACUCUAAAUAUGAUCUGAAUGCAAAACUUACAAAUUGUACAGUACAACAGCAUUAGUAAUGCAACCACAAACUGAUUAGUAAAAGGCAUAACAGAAGGGAAAAAAUUUCCAACAGCACUGACGAAAAAGCAUCACAAGCCUGAUAGCAACUCAAAAAAAAAUGAUCAAACAUGACACAAGAAAAUUGUGCAAUAGCUGCAACACAAAAAAAAACUGUUAAGGGAAAAACAACCACCAAAGAAAUCACAAACCAGUUUCCUAAAAGCAAUGAAAAAAUUGCUUGCACAGCUAUUAGCAUCAAACAAGUUUUAACAGAGGAGGAGAAAAACAUGAAAACAGAGCCAAUCUAAGGUAGGAAGACAAAAUAUGUAUUCCAGCAGGAAAUCCAAGUCACGGGGAUUUCUUUAUUUUUUUUGCCUUUUUUAGGGUGGAAUCCUAGAACUAAAAAAUAACCCAAAUAGCACAUGAAACAAGCAAAAAAAGCUUAAAAGGUAUUAUGAAGGAACUUUAGUCAAAGAAAAGAAAAUGGAUGGUCAGCAUAUGUUCAUUCAGACCCAAACUUUUCGUAUGAAAGAAACAAGAAAUGAAUAAAUGUAUAACUAUGAGCUGGACCUUACACAGAGAUGUAAUUAGGCUUUCUAACUCUGGGCAUCAAAAUCAAAGCUUCCCUGCCUCCUGAACGCUAGGCAAACCGAGCAUUUUAAAUCUGUAAUAUCAAAUUUUCAAAAAAUCAACUUUCAGUUUAUUCACUAUUAACAGGAAGAAAUACAACGGGGAAAAAAACUAAUCAAAAAAAUGCAUAAAAAUAGUAACAAAACUCAAAGAACAUAAAAAUUUUUAAAAUUAAAAAAAAUAUAUAACAAGAAGAAAUACAAAGAGGAAAAAAUGAAGCACAAAAAUAGAUAAAAAUAGUAAGAAGACUCAAAGAACAUAAAACUUUUUAAAAUUACAAAAAAUAAACCAUACCUCUAAUCCAGGGCUGCUGCGACGGUCGUUGAUUCUCUGAAACUAAAAUUCCUAAAAAACCAAGAGAUAUAUACAGAAAACUGUGAAAUUAUAUCGAUCUAUUGAAUGUAGGGCUUUUCGGCAACUACAAGCAAAUCUGUGGGCAAAUAAAAGAGCCACAGAUUUUGCAGUCCUAGAGAGCCCAAAAAUUUUCUAAAAUUUAAGGGAGAAUCGGGGGAACAUUAGCUUUGCAGUUGAUCGGAGAAGGAGAGAGAAGGGAUUGACAACUUUUUUUUAGAGGAGAGGGUAUAAGUGGGCUUACGAACACACCGAAACCAACUGUAGUCAAAGUGAUGCCUCUAUGAAGCAUUUCAUCCAACACCUUACGGGCAUUCUUUAGGUUCCCAGUGAAUUGCAGGUUUCAGAUUGGAUUUUGGAAGCUGCAGAAUGGAGGAGUUGUUGGAAAAUCGAGAAAGCAAUAUGGAUUUUCCUGCCUGCAAGGUGGGAGCAUAUAAGUGACUGAUAAAUGCAAGGGUCAAGGUGGAUAUGGAGGGUUUUGACGUGCUUUAAGAGCAUUUCUAAAUUGGUGGGCAAUGGAGAGAGAUUUGAGGAUGGAUUGGAAAGUAGCAGAAGUGUGCAAGAAAUCCGGCUGCUGAGAGGCCCAGAUAAAGAAGCCAAGAGUCAGGUCGGGAAAUUGAUAGGGCAUAAUUUGUUGUUAAUUUUAUGAUUAAUUUCCCUCUUUGUCCUUGCCAAAUAUUGUUUUAAUUGUUGAAAUGUACUUAUAUUUGGUAUUUGGCCCUAAUUACAGGAAGUGAAGCAAACAAGUGCUAAAAAGGAGACUUUAUUGAGAAAAACACUCCACACAUGGGAAGUUCUAAAAGGAAAUACAAGCCGGGCUCCACAGGAUGCUACAAAAAGGGAUUCCCUAUCUUUAUGCUGAAAAGGGUGGACUUGUACUAGGAGUCUUACGAGUAAAGAGGAAACUAAAAACAAGGACUUUGGUAAAGCUCCAAUUCUUUGGCCCUUGGACUCUCAAUUCAGUGGGGACCACUAGAGAUAGCGUUAGACUUUCUUUUGGCUUUAAAAAGGGAGAAACGUACAGGAGGGAGGUUAUCUUAUCAAUCAAUAGUUUUAGUUUAGACUUUUAGCAUAGUUUUAGUUUUUCUUUUCUUAGCUCUUUCGCAUGGCUGUUCUCCAUUAAUGGAGGACUAACCUCUUAAUUCUAGUCAAGGAGACAACUGAAGACUUGGUUCAACAAUUACUGUAAGAUCGAAAUUAUUUUAAUCGCUUCCUCAUUUAUUGGUAUUUAUGUGUUUCCUGUUUUUAAUUGUUAUAGUCCUUAUGUAUGAUUGAUUAGUGCGCAAUAAUUAAUUAUUCAUAUAGGCUAUUUUGCUAAAUAGGGGUAAUUGAAUCCGUAAUUGUUCGUUAUCUCUACCUCAGUAGCAACUGGCGUAAUUGGGUUUAUGUCAGGGGAGCAUAUGAUCUAGCUUAAACAAACCCUCGUAGCGUGUUUGUUGGUUAGGAUUGGGUCUUUCUAAUUAUUAAUGCAAUCUAGGAAUUAAAUCCUACGGUCGUACCUAGGGUUAUUUUUGGGUUAGAGAAAUAGCUAACGGUCGUACCUUAGCUAUCGAUAAAUUAAGGAAGGGUUGGUUGUUUAUCGCGUGCAUGACAACUAUAACUAAUCUAUUACUAAAUGUUGGAAUUAUUUCUGCAUCAAUGAUCAGUGUCUGAACCAUUUCUGAAGUGUACCCUUGGUUAGAGUUUUCCCUUAAUUAUUUCUCUUAAUCAAUUAUUUCCUGCAGUUAAUUUAUUUAGUUAGUAUUUAAUCCAAAAAAUCCCCAGUCCCUGUGGAUUCGACCCUACUCACCGCUAUAUACAAAAUCUGUAUUUUUCUCGAGUAGGUAUUUAUUAUUGCACAGGUUUGGCACCUGUCAAUUUUUGGCGACGUUGCCGGGGACUGGUGUCAGAUUAAUUUGUUUCUUUUUGAGUUUAUUUUGUUUUCAUUUUUUUUAAAUUUAUUUUUCUCUUAUUUUUUUUAUUUAUUUUUUAUUUUUUUUAUGGCUGCUAACAUUCCAUAUUUUGAUGAUAGACUGGACUUUGUUCCUGAAUGGGGUUAUGAGACUCAUGUUUUUCCUAAUGAUCAAUAGGCUGUUGCAAAUUGUGGAAUUUAUUUUGACUCAGGUUAUUCAACUGACACAUGCCCCGUAUUUCAAGAUAAUCUAAGUUCUCCACUUGAUACUUUUGGGGAUUUUCCACCCCAAUAUCAAACGCAGUAUGACCCUUAUUCAAACGGGUAUGAUCAAGGAUGGUGGGAUAAUUCCAAUUUUAAUUAUGCGACGGGGCCAAUGGAUUUUCAACAGCAAGAGUCUCAGCAAUCAUCCUCCGUGUCAGGUAUGUCUCUUGAAGAAAUGAUGGAAUUACUAAUUGUAAUACAAAUCGAUUUCAUCAGGAGACACAAGCGAGCCUUCGCGACCUGGCAGAUCAACUAUGUCUAUUGAUAUCCAGAAUGAAUCGAUUGGCUUCUCCAAUGAAAAAAUUGCUCUCGAAAACCAUUGUUGAUCUAGAAGAAAAUGAGAGUGCAAUUUGCUUGACUGGUGAUGAGGAGCUGCAAGAGUGUCAAAAUGAGAAAUCUACAGAUGCAGUUGAAAAAGAAGCCAAAAAGGAAGAAAUGGAACCCCAACCGCAACCCAUUCAAGUGAAAGAAUCCAGUGAACAAUCUCCAAAUGCGGUGACAUCUCCUCCACUCCUUCAUCAAUAUUCUCCUGACUCUUACUCUUCAAUUCCUGUUAACGAAAUUGACUUUAUUAUACCAGACAAUUUUGAAUUUCAUGACAGCAAUAAAUUAAGAGUGGCGAUGGCGAGAUAUCUUGAACCAAUAAAUGCAAGUGGGGGAGGAGUGAAUGGAGAAUGCAAAUUAUCAUCGACUCGUUUGGCGCCAUUCACUAGUCCAUGGAAGCCCGUAACUCGUGUGCCCAAAGAUUACUCAAUCUAUGAGGGUUAUCAGGAUCAUAUUGAAGAUGAAACAUUGAAGCGAGCCACAAGAUUUUAUCCUCCGUGAACAAGCAUAGAAUGUCUAGCCAAAGACAUUAAAGAAAGGCGCUACUUGGGAGGCAACCCAAGACUAUUUGUUUCAGUUUUCAUGCAUUUUUUAAGUUCUAGUUAAGUGUUAGUGUCAAUUAAUAGUUUGAUGUUUGGUGACAGGGAAUUAGUAGUUAGACGUGCCCCCGCCAGGUGGUCAUGCCUGAGGGAAAGAAAUUUUCGUUCAAGAUCUGCGGAUUCUAUAGCAGUUAGACGUGCCCAUGCCUAAACCAGAGGUUCUUUGAAAAAAAAAAAUCAAAAAUUCAAAAUAAAAACAUUUUCCGUUUUACACCUUCAGUUUUGGUAUUCAAAAAUCGAAUUUUCCAAUCUCAAUUCAAUUUUUUUAAAAAAAAAAAUGCCAAAAUUUUUUUUUUCUUUCUCUUUUUUCUUCUUCUUUCUUUCUUUUCUUUUUCUUUCUUCUUCUUCCUUCUUUCCUCUUUGUGUCUGCCGCAGCACCUCACCUCACUCACGCUCCUACCACCAUAGCUCCUCCAUCCGCCGCCGCCAACUCCUUUUUCCUCUUCUUCCUUUGCCUUCCUGUCGUCGCUGCGCACCGUCCGCCACUGCCAGGCGAUCCCGCAGCAGCAUUAGAAGUGGCAGCCCACCAGCUGAACCAGGUGCGCAGUCAUCCACCAGCGCGCGCCGCCCUCUUCUCCACGGCGUGCGCUAGCAGCGCGCAAGAAAUCCUAGGCGCGAUCCAUCCGCGCGCCUCGCCUGCAGCCCAGACUAGCAAAAGAGGGCAGCAGAGCCAGCCGCAGCAGCCGCUUGUUCGACAGCGCCGCCACUGCUAGCCGCACGCCACCACUGAUCCCAGCUCGCGCGCGCAGACAGCGCACCAUCCUCCUAGCGCGACCUGUGCAGACCACCAGCUCGCGCCACUCUACCCCAACCUCUUCACUGUUGCUGCUCCGCUACUCGAGCCAUUCCCACCUGUCCAAAUUGACAGGUGGAGGUAUUGUAUUUUCCUCUUCGAUUAGUGUUUUCCUGGUUCAUCAAUUGCUAGAUUUUGCACAUUUUUUGGGGGUUUUGUGAUGGCUGAAACCAGGAAGUAAUUUAGGAAUUUUCUGGGGUUAAUUUUGGGUACAAUUGAGUCAAACUGCUGCGAAAUUUGGGGGUACUUUGGGGGUGAAUUGACCAUUGCUUCUGGCUUUAAUUUUCGCUCAUUUUUGGUGCUGUUUGGGUGUUCGAAUCUAUUUUGUUCACUGGAUUGGUUAUUCGCUUUAAUUUCUCCCUAUGCACUCACCAGUGGUACUGGUGAUGGUAGUUGUUUAACAUCUGAUAAUCCUGUGUUCUGGAUUGCCUAAUUAAGCGAGUUGUGCCUAUUGAGCGUUUUUGGUUGAGUCGUUCCAGUCCACCCUGUGUUUGAGUUUCUUGAUAGCUAAUAGCAGAGGUGAUUUAGGCAUAUUCUGGGGGUGCUUUUUGGACAGAAUUGGGUUUAAUUGCUGCCAUAAUGGGGGUAUUUUCUUUUAUUUAUUGAAUUAUUGGCCGCUUGAUUACUUUUUCCCUGUGACUCACCAGUAGUACUGGUUGAGAUCUUUUGCCUAUCGUUGUGGCUUAUAUUUGAAGAUACUUGCUUAUUUUGCAGUUUCAGUUCUUGUGGUUGAGUUGCUGCCGUUAAAUUUGAUUCUUUCCUGUCUGUGCACCAGUGGUACUGGUUGCAUUGUUGCUUACAGUUUCUUGAUCCUCGGUGCUCGACUGCCUAUUUGACUCCUGGGUUUUAGUGCUUAAAUUGUUUUUCGAAUCUUGAACUGUGGUUGCUGGAAUUGCCAAUUUUCGUGGUCAAUUGCUAAUUUUUGCAGGUUGAAGUGGGUAAUUGACUGUCCAAUUGGAGACAGUUGUUACGAUAUUGGGUCCGAUUGUGUCUAAUUGCUGAAAGUUGUUGAUUUAUUAAGACACUAGCACAGUCCCUAGUUUGUUCGAGUUGCUGUUCUGUUGCAUUAUUGGGAGCUGUGCUCUAGUAUUGUGGCUACUUUCCUGCGUUUAUUUGUUGAAUUGGGAUAUGAAUGUGCCGUUUGCAUUUGCUUGUUGAAGUCGGUUGUCUUUAAUUGACUUGCUUGGGGUAUUUGGAGCAUUUGUUGCACUUUUGGACUGCAUUGAUCCUGAAUGUGACUACAUGGGGUCCAUAAGUACUUAUUGAUUGCAUUUGUUAUUAGUGUUGAGGUAUUCGUAUAACCUGUGGGUGAUUGAAUGGUGCCUAUUGUUCAUUGGGUUGGUUUUAAACAAAAAAAAAAAAAUAUAUAUAUAUAUAUAUAUUUUUUAUUACUUUGAAAUUCCUGUUUCCAUUAUCUGUUGGCAAUUGUAGUCCCUUGUGAUUAGAGUGACAUCUAGAGAUCAUGGUAAGGCCAAGAUCCGCUUCUAGGUUUAGGACACCUAGACACUCGCAGCCUCCUCCUACCCCAGGGGCUAACGACUGGGUCCAACUCCGAAUGCAAGUUGCAUAACAUGGUGCAGAAUUUGGCAGCACUCCGCCCGACCCACUCCUGUUUUGACAAUUUCAGGGAAGUACCGUUACCCUUCUCCUUCCUUUUGCUGUUAGUUUAUCACAUUGAGGGCAAUGUGUGAAUUAGGUGUGGGGGGGUCAGUUUGGGGUGCUAGUAUUUUUGUUUUUAGUUUCUAAGGGCUGUUCCUUUAUUUUUAGUUUGAUAUUUAUCUCCCUUUUCGUUUAUUUUCUUUUCUUUUUUCUAGUGGUCAGCUCUUCUAUGACUACCAAGUUUUGAUGCUGGAUUGUUGCCUCUAAUUAUGCUAUUGCCAAGUUUUAUUAAUAAAAAGGUAUCAAGUUGAUGUGGUUGAGUUCAGGGACAUCUCUCUGGCUCUGGUGAAUAUCAGUAAUUGCUUGACUCUUCUAAUUUUUUGUUAACUUUUCUAGGCAUAGGGAAUGAUUGUUGGCAUUUUUCAUGUGAAUUGGUCCAGUUAUUAAUUUUAGUUCUCCAUGUCUGGAAAUUUUAAGGCUGGCUGCUGUUAUUCUUGUGUUGCUUUUAGAUAUCGUGCUAUAUGGUUGCAAAUAAGAGGUGACUGUACUCCGCUGGUUAUCACUACUGAGUAACCGGGGAUCUUCACCUAAAGUGUCGAUUCUCGCGUCAAAAGGUAGUAAUUGUUAUGAGUGCGUGGUCCCGUAGCGAUUUGAGCUGAGUAACCGGGCUCCUCCAUCUACCAAAUAUUGGAGUUCGCGUCAAAAGGUUCUAAUGGCUAGAAACUAAGUCUUUUGUUGUUAGUAAAAAAAAAAAAAUAGCGAAGAAAAAAGUAAAGUAAAGAUUGUGUUAGUAUGUGAAUAAGUCAGCUUGCCGGUUUGUGAUUUUAAUGUCGAUAUUUUAGUUAAUAGUUGGACCAUUUGCUAAUAAAUGUGAGCAACCAUUCCUUUUUCUUAGAUUAGUUUGCUUUAAAUUGGAGGAGUUGGUGGUUGGGAAGCUAACCGGAGUGGUCUUUCUUGGAUCUUAACUGUGAUGCUUGAUAUAUAUUUUUCUGGGCAUCUUGGCAAUAUGAUAGUUAAAGCAAUAGCCAUUGUCGAAUUUUUGGUGUUCAAUUGCUGUUCUUAUGCUUGAGGGCAAGCAUGAUUUAGGUGUGGGGGGAAUUGAUAGGGCAUAAUUUGUUGUUAAUUUUAUGAUUAAUUUCCCUCUUUGUCCUUGCCAAAUAUUGUUUUAAUUGUUGAAAUGUACUUAUAUUUGGUAUUUGGCCCUAAUUACAGGAAGUGGAGCAAACAAGUGCUAAAAAGGAGACUUUAUUGAGAAAAACACUCCACACAUGGGAAGUUCUAAAAGGAAAUACAAGCUGGGCUCCACAGGAUGCUACAAAAAGGGAUUCCCUAUCUUUAUGCUGAAAAUGGUGGACUUGUACUAGGAGUCUUACGAGUAAAGAGGAAACUAAAAACAAGGACUUUGGUAAAACUCCAAUUCUUUGGCCCUUGGACUCUCAAUUCAGUGGGGACCACUAGAGAUAGCGUUAGACUUUCUUUUGGCUUUAAAAAGGGAGAAACGUACAGGAGGGAGGUUAUCUUAUCAAUCAAUAGUUUUAGUUUAGGCUUUUAGCAUAUUUUUAGUUUUUCUUUUCUUAGCUCUUUCGCAUGGUUGUUCUCCAUUAAUGGAGGACUAACCUCUUAAUUCUAGUCAAGGGGACAACUGAAGACUUGGUUCAACAAUUACUGUGAGAUCGAAAUUAUUUUAAUCGCUUCCUCAUUUAUUGGUAUUUAUGUGUUUCCUGUUUUUAAUUGUUAUAGUCCUUAUGUAUGAUUGAUUAGUGCGCAAUAAUUAAUUAUUCAUAUAGGCUAUUUUGCUAAAUAGGGGUAAUUGAAUCCGUAAUUGUUCGUUAUCUCUACCUCAGUAGCAACUGGCAUAAUUGGGUUUAUGUCAGGGGAGCAUAUGAUCUAGCUUAAACAAACCCUCGUAGCGUGUUUGUUGGUUAGGAUUGGGUCUUUCUAAUUAUUAAUGCAAUCUAGGAAUUAAAUCCUACGGUCGUACCUAGGGUUAUUUUUGGGUUAGAGAAAUAGCUAACGGUCGUACCUUAGUUAUCGAUAAAUUAAGGAAGGGUUGGUUGUUUAUCGCGUGCAUGACAACUAUAACUAAUCUAUUACUAAAUGUUGGAAUUAUUUCUGCAUCAAUGAUCAGUGCCUGAACCAUUUCUGAAGUGUACCCUUGGUUAGAGUUUUCCCUUAAUUAUUUCUCUUAAUCAAUUAUUUCCUGCAGUUAAUUUAUUUAGUUAGUAUUUAAUCCAAAAAAUCCCCCAUACUUUGGACUCUAGAAGAAACGAAUUAUCCCCAGUCCCUGUGGAUUCGACCCUACUCACCGCUAUAUACAAAAUCUGUAUUUUUCUCGAGUAGGUAUUUAUUAUUGCACAGGUUCGGCACCUGUCAGAAAUGCAAAAUAAAUAAGAACGAGAGCAAGGGAGAGAAAGAGAGGAAGAGAAAGGGAACGGAGAGAGUUUGUGGAGAAGAGGUGUAUCUAACCCUAGAGGAAUGGAGAAAGAAAAUAGAGAAGAAAAGGAAGAGGGGAAGAGGAGAAGAUGAGAAAGCGGCGGCGGAGGAAAUUUACGAAAACCCUAGAGACGAAGUAUAUGCAGACGUCUGGCACAUCGCGCGGAAAAAAAAAAGCUGGUGACUCACAUGUGCGGCACGUGAGAGGACGACGAAAACAUCCACGUCAGAAGAGCUCUUCGGCUCUUAUUCUACUUAUGUUGAAAAGAGACUGGUAACAUGUGAAGCCAAGGAAGGCUAACAGGUACAGGGACAUUUCAUCCAAAUGCCUAACAAAAUCUUGUCCACUUCAGUCCAGAGAGUUUGGUCAAACUUUUAUAGUCGUAGGUAAUUGCAAAAAUUUUGAAGUUAAAAGGUAGUUGUGAAGGUGCAAAGUGCGAUCAGAGUAUAAUUGAGGAGAACAAUGUGCAAUUAAUCCAAAAUGAAAACAAUGAGUCAGGUCCAACCCAAUCAGUCAAAACUUUUCUCUAUUUUCCUCGAUUUAAAAUAAGAGUAAUAUUCACUUUGCAUUAAUUUUUAUUUUGGUCUCGGAAUUUGGAAAUAAGAUGUUUUGGCCUUUAAAGUAUAAAUGUGUUACACUUUAAUUCCUAAAGUAUAAAAUUGGUUUCAUCUUAAUCCUCUUAAAUAUAAAAUCUAUCCCACUAUAGUCCAUAAAAUAUAAAAUUUGUUCCACUUAAAUAUAAAAUUUGAGGUAAAUCUUCCAUACAUUGUAUCCUAGUGGAGUUUGAUGCAUUCCAUACAUGAAAAAUUUGGAAUUCAAAGUCAACUUCAGAUCUGUUUGGAUUGCUAUUUUCUGGAAUUUUGCAUAAGUAUAUACUACAGCGAUUUGAUAUAUGUGAGGCAAAAAGGUGAUUGAAAAUUUUGUUCAUAAAAAACGUAAAAAUUUUUUUAGGGGAAAAUGACUUUUCAAAUAAAGUGGCAUGCAUGACCUAUUCGUGUGUACACAAAUAAUGUAAGAUCUUAUCGAAAGAAAAAGACAAUGUAAGAAAAAUUAAUCCAUGAACUCUAUUUCAUUUCCCCCAAUGAUUUUACUUAAAUAGGACAAACUUUUUUAUAUUUAAGGAACUAAGGCAUCUCAUUUCAAAGUAUAGGGAUGAAAGUGAAAUUUCGGGUAAAAUUAAAUAAUGUAAAGUGAAAUUAACUCCUGAAACAAUAAAAGAUGGAUUUCUCGGGGCACCAAAAAUGAGGCCUCAACAACGGUCAAUAUGAUCCAUUGCCCCCACAAAAAUUAAAAGCUAUCCAAACACACUUUAAUAAUGUUAUCCACACAGUAUAGCAAACAACUGUAUCCCAGCACUUGACCAGAAGACUCUCCUCGGGUUGACUAGUAUACUCAAAAUCUGAUCAUUCUCGGUAUUCUUCUUAGGUAAGUAUCUCCGAUCGGUCAAAAACUUUUCUGUUUUUAUGACAAUAAGGGAUCAUUCAUUUUUCUGAAUUCUGAUUAUUGUGUUCCGCUUCUCUGUUACUGGUGAGUGUUAUCCUAACAACUUCCCUUCCAUUUUUUUUGCUACGCCGAUCAGUCGAAAGGGGUUCAUUUUUGCCUUUUGAUUGCUCUGUUAGGUGCUUAUGUUCAACAAGUUUUUCUUUUAUCCCGAAUACAUGCUUAUCCCGUCUCUACUAGAUAUUUUAAACCAAAAAAUUCUCCUUUUUAUGCUUCUGGUUCCUGUAAUUGCUUGUCUUCCAACCCUUUUUCAUGUACCUACAGAUUUUGUUAAUCGUCUUGGAGACAUUCCUAUUACAGCUGAGAGAUGACCUACGCUGCAGUUGCUUCCCUGGUACAAACGCUGGAGUAUCCGCUGCAAUUUCCCUGUUUGGUUCUGGAAAUGAAGAAGAUGCAAGCGGAGGUUGUCACACAGGGAUUCCGUCAAUUCGUAUUGUUCCUGAAAGGAGAACCCUUAUCUUCGUGGAUCAUUGAAGAACAUGGAACUCUCUCAUCCAGCUUUGAAGAAUUUCUUGGGGCAGUUGGUCCGCAUGCUGACUUCUUGGAGGUCAAGAAAAGAACACUGUCCUUGAGCUGCGGAAUACCAAAAUUGCAGGAGCAAAAGCCACCAAUUCUGACGGAAAUUGGAUCUUUGGAGCAAGACCUGAAGAAAUUUCUGGAAACCACUGUCCUCGACAUCGGGACAGAUCUAUGCAACUACGUUGUUCAUCAAACUUCUCGUGAAACAGUAGCAAAAAUGCUUCGGGUCGUGGAUGAGCUCAAACAGGCCAUAAUCUUUUUCUAUGAAGUUGCUUCUGAGAUCACAAUUCUCUUACCAGGAUCUUUUCUCCUUGCUGAGUUAUCUUGAUGAUUCUUCUGAUAAAUUCCAGGAUCAUGAAUUGCUGAAAUGCAUCAAAGACGUUGCUUAUAGAGCAAGAGAUCUUGUUGAAGAACGUAUCGUGGACAAACAAGUCGAGUCAGUAAUGACGGAUCUCAUUUGCACUUUGUCCAAAAGCAAGUCACCAGCUAGACGCCUACCACUUAGAUCUCUUGAAACAGUGGUCGAGAGUGUCUUCGAUGGAAAGAAGGGCAUUCGUGGAGGUUUAGUUCAUGCAUUACAGGAUGUUCAAUCUUUCAAGAGAAAGACUACAAAUACAGAUGAAAAGUGUCUAACAUUGCAGGGAUCAAGCAUCAGGAAAGCACCACUUGGUUCGAAUAGGGAGGAUAUUGUGGGAGGUCUUUUAUUUACUAAAAAAGUUGGUGAGGUCAUCAUGUUACUGAAAAUGGAAGGAGCCCCAACUUUGCCGGAACAAUUAGUAGAAGAGAUUCUACCUCUUGCACUGCCCGUUGGAGAUUUUGUUCGAGGACCUAGGCAACGAACUAUAAGGGCGAAACUUGAGUAUACAAUGGCUACUUGUUACAGAGGAAAAUUAUCAAAUGAAGUGCCAGAAUUAGUAGAAUGAGCUCCAGCAUUUGACGGUCAAAGUAUCCCACAAAAUUCAAGCACUUUGAAACAGAAGUUGCACAGUUCAUAUUUACGAAGAUCAAUUUCUCUUAUAUGAAUUGUGUACCAGCUCAGGAGAAAAAAGGGGGGGAAAAAAAAAAAGAGAAAAAAGGGUCACUUACUUUUAACCUCAAAGAAAAAAUGGAGAGAUAGGUAAACUUGAAUUAUAAUUUACACAAAAAAUCGAUACAAACGCAAUUUACAGUAACUAAUUCAAACUACUUGGAGUGGGUAAUAGUUCUUGCCAAAUUGUUCCUUUAGGAAUGCAACCAACGCUGCUCCCUUAGCAGGGCCCGGUCCAGCUGUUCUAGGACUCCUAAAUAUUCAGCUUGUGUCACUAGCGAGGUCCCCUCAAAGAAAAUUGAGAAGAAAAGAAAUCAAAGACGAGACGUUUGGCACUUGGGGAGACUUGGCUGCUUCAUCUUCGUUGACCACAAGUUCUCAUCGCCGACUUUCUUCUAGCAAUCGUGAUGCCGAUCAUCAAAGUCCGUUCCUCCUCUGCUGCUGGUAAGCUGUAGCUUCUCUCUCGCAUUCAUAGUUGUCAGGCCCCGGUUUUUUUGCUUUCUCCAACAUGUUAGUAUGCUCUUUUAUUUUUUAUUUUUUCCGAUUCAUUCAUAUUUACUUAUUUAGUAUGCUCUUUCUCCUACAGUUUCUUUUGCUUUGUCCUAGAUGUUAGUAUGUUGUUAUUUUAUUUUCUUUUAUAUUUACUUAUUGCAGUCAGGUUAAAUCUUUGUUAAUUUGCUAUUGAUUACAUCGGGUAGGAUUGACGGAGGGAAAGAUGGCUUACGAUGACGUUGUUUAUCUGUUGGUGGAGGAGGUGGACGAGUUAGUUACUAUCCUACGCAAAAUACUGAAUAUCAAGGUAUUGCAAGCCACGUUAUUUAUAGAAAAAGUUGUUGAGGUCAUCAGAGUAUUGGAAAUGGAAGGACCCCCAACUUUGCCGGACCAAUUAGUAGAAGAUAUUGCACCUCUUGCACUGCCUAUAGGAGAUUUUGCUCGGAGAACUAAGCCACAAAUUACUUCACCGUCAUAUGAUGAGUAUAGGAUGAAUAUUCGUGACGGCUGCUGGGAACAAAUGCUAUCAAGAGAAGUGCCAGAAUUAGUAGAACAGAUUGGUUUAAAUGAGAAUAAGCUGGAGAAAUAUCUUGAUGAAUCUGACUUCUACAACUCCUGGGAAGAUUUGCGUCACAAGUCAGCCUUACUACCUUGUCGUGAGGCGGUGAGGGAUCUGCUUCAGUCUUGUCGAGAACUCAAAGACGCCAUGAACUUUUUCAGUGAAGUGGGGACCGAAUCAGCUUUUCUCUGCCAACAUCUAAAGUUCUUGCUGAGCUUUGCUGAGUUGUGCCAGCGUUCCAAUGAAUGGCGUUGCCGCCAAUUUGUGAACGGCAUCAUGGAUGUUGCUAACAAAGCUCUUGAUGCGCUGGAAUGUGCAGAUAGAGAUGGUCUUAGGUCACUGAUGCGGGAAUUUGAAUCAAAGGGAUAUGCUUCAGCUGAGCUUCUAACGGAAAAUUGUAUUGAGGAGACGGCCAAGAAAUUUUUUGAUGGGAAAAAUGGAAAGCGAUUGGUUUUGUUGGAGACUUUAGAAAUGCUUCAUUCCUUCACGGAAGAGAUUGAUACUACUUGUGGGAAACUUGGCAGCGAAGAUCGUCAAUCGCAUAACGCUUCAUUUGGAAGAAAUGGUUUUCCUUCACUGUCUGUGAUUCGUGAGAAGUUUGCUAGAGGAGAUCUUCCUUCACUGCCUAUCACGUAUUAUCUACGUGCUUUUCCUUUAAUUGAAGGAAGAAAAAGAGGGAGAGUUAGUGUUAGGUCUGGUAUCAGACGACCUAACAAACAGGUUCAUUAUCAGCGUGCUUCUGGAGGAAAAAGAAGAAGAGUGUCUAAUAUCAUACUAGAGCUGCAAAUGAAUCGAGUUGAAUCGAGUUUUGGCCUAAUCGAACCGAACAUCGGCCUAGUUUUAUCAAACUUGAACUCGAAUUCGAGCUCGACGAGUUGCCAAUCUAAAUAUCAAGUUCAAGGUCAAACUCUAGCUCUAAUUCGAGCUCUUGAGCGCGAGCUCAAGCGAGAGCAUGAGCGCGAGCGCGAGCUCGAGCUCGUGCUCGAGCGCGAGCUCGAGCUCGUGCAGCUCGAGCUGGAGCUGGCAAUCCAGCUCGUGCAGCUUGAGCGCCAGCACCAGCGCAAGCUCCAGCUCGUGCUUGAGCUCGAGCUCGAGCGCCAGCGCCAGCUCGUGCUCGAGCUCAAGCUCGAGCGCCAACGCAAGCUCGCGCUGCUCGAGCCCCAACUCGAACUCGUGCUGCUCGAGCGCCAGCGCCAGUUCAAGCUCAAGUUCGAGCUCAUUCGCCAGCGUGAGCACGUGCUCAAGCUCGAGCAUGAGCACAAGCGCAAGGUAGCUCGAGUGCAAGCUAGCUCAAGCGCUUAAAAAAGACUUGAGUUUGAUGUUGAUCGAACUUGAGUCGAAUUUUGACUCCAGCUGCUAAUGAGUAGCUUAAUUUUUUUGCCUCCUUAAACAAGAUCUAACAAACAGGUUAAUUAUCUACGUGUUUUUCGAGGAAAAAGAAGAAGCGUUGUUAGUGUUAGUCUGGUACUAGACUGGUUAAGCGUCAAGUUCCGGCAAUGAUGACAAACUAUGUUAAUAGAACCAGAAUGUAUGUGGUAUCGCUGCUGCUACCAAGAAUGGAGAAAUAGCUCGUGAAGAGUUUUGUGAAGAAGAUAGAGCAAGAUUACUAUAUUCACGGUAUGGGUCCGUUGAUCACCAAACCACUAAGAGAGCUUUUAAUGAGUUAUUUAGACCUUUGGGUCAUUGAAUAAAUAUUUUGAAUUCUCUUGUGAUUUAGUAAUUGAAUGCUUUUGGGUCUAGAAACACUUUUUAUAGCUUUUAUACUCUGUUUCAUGGUGAAACUGUACUCUUUUGUCUCUGCUCUACUUUGUGGUAAAAUUCUACUCCUCUUUCGUCAUAAAUCAUGUAAUCUGGUGUCUGUUCUCGUUGAUCAUAGUUUUCUAGAGAAUGCAACUACAUAAACAGCAAUGCAUUGCUCAGAACAGCUUUGUACUGUCCAAGAGAUUAAUCUUCCCCGAUUUUCAAUUGUUGAGGCAUUGCCGGGUAUUUAAUUACCAACAGAUACCUAUGCAGAUUCGUGCAUGUUAAAAAGAAUACAUAGUUACUUUAUUAUGCAUUUUCUAGGAAAGAAAGCGGUGUGCAUUUAGAAUAGGUACAAAAGUUAUUUUAACCUUGGCGUACUGUCCUGAUUCCUCAUUGUAGUUUCUAGGUUUUUAUAUUAUUUUUUCUUUUGGUAAAAUAGUUUCAAGAUACUUGCUGCAAAAUGUCCGUGUGAUAUCCUAAUGCAAAUGAAUCACCUUGUUAAAUUUUGUUUCUAAAAGAAAACAGAAGUGCUUUAUGAAGGACACUUUAGAAUGCAUAUAUUCGCAGUAGCAGUAAAGAAUUUUCUAUUUGAAUUCCAUGUUAGCUUGAAUCCUCAACCUAGGUAACCAUUCCUGUGCGUCUCUUUGAUGCGGGUUUUGGUUCCCUAGGUUUGCAUCAGAAUUUGGUAAUAAUAUACGAGGAUGUUAAAAACUUUCGUGGUCGUAUAAACAUAGCCUUUCUUGGCCAAGUUUCAGUCUCCGGAUGCAAGCCUAGAAGGGGGCACCAUCUUACAGGAUCUUGAUCUUCUAGGCCAAACCUUGAUAAACUAUGUGUGAACGUGGGAACACAAUGCAAGAGAAAAUUUAUUUAACUAAUUUCAUUCGUGAUUGGGUAGUUUUGUGGUAAUCUAAUUGUUAGAGAACCAAUUUUCAAAGCGAAGCUUACCAACGUUGUUAUUGUUGUUAAUCUUGGCUUAGAUUUCCAUUUCUGUCUUCCAUCAAAUUCACUGAAGCCAAAUUCAUUGAAUGCGUUAAUUGUUUAUUUUAUUGUCUUCAAAAAUGGAUGAGAAACGAGUGCCGAUUAAGUGUUUGAUGUCUAUAUGCCCAUUUGAUCAUCAAGCUCAGGUUAAGUGUUUGAUGUCUCUGCUGUUUUGCCAAUUGACCAGACAGGCCUAUAGACAGCAAGUCAAUUAUUCCUAAAAGAUCCAACCCCCGCCACUGCCAAGCAGUAUUGCUUCUACACCAUCCAAAUAAAACAAAGAAAAAACCAUCAAAAUAAAGUCGACAAAAUUUAUGCAAUCCUUGUAGUGCUCCUUUGAUCUGAUGAGAAAUCACAUGUAGAAUCAGUAGAAUGUAAAAGUUGCAACUUCCUCGAUUAUGUAGGGGAGGAGCCACUGGGCCCUGAUAGGCUGGUACAGAAUAUCGUAAGUUCAAUUCUGGAGCAAUCUCUUCCUAAAAUUUUGGGGGAUAUUUUGCUAUUUCUUUAGUUGGUGCUAUGGUAUCUAACUCAUCUGUUUCAUGUCUAAUGAGCUAGGAGAUUCCAUUGUUCUGGGAUGCAGAAUUUUCAUUAUUAUCCGGUAUACUCAUGGUGGCAAAUCGCAUAAAAGAUCAGUUUGGUUGCAUCUUGAACCCAUUCCAGAUUUUAGGAGGAGUAUCCCCAAAAUCCAAGCUCUUUUCGGCUAGAACCAUGGUCAGGAAAUAUGACGAUCAGAAAGUUUUGCAUAAAACAUAUCUAAGCAGCAUAAAACUACUAUACUAAGUAGUAAUUGAUCAAGGGGCAAGAAGGCAAAGCUAAGAGAGCCUACUAUCUUUUGACUUAGUACGCAAUUACUAAGUUCUGAAUCCGAGAGAUCUGAGCCUGUAGAAUAAGUUGUGGAAGAGGAGAAUCCACAGGAAAUCACCGGGAUGGGAGGACUAGGGAAAAUCAAUAUUUGAUCGCUCAAAACAAAAAAUGACCAAAGAUAAUGUACUGAAAGUGGUAAAAAAAAAAAGCUAAGGAAACAGUAUAUUAUCAUUAAUUUUCACCUUCCUUUCUAGUUAAUUUUACGAAUGUAAUUAUUAAUUGAAUUUUAAUUUGACAAAAUUUAAAAAUGUAAGGUGUAAAAUGUUCAAAAUUAAGCGCUUAGAGUGUAAAAUGAGAAAGUAGUACUAGUUUAGAGGGAUAAAAUAAGAGUACACACCUCCCUUUCGUCUACGGACAGCGCCCACCAACAAUGGGAAAAAUGUGAGAAGUUGACAAUGGUGCCGACUUUCAGCAUGUCCUGUGGUACUUGGUUUCUCUUUUGACCAGAUACAAGUAGAUGCGGAGUGCAAAUUUCUGAUUUUUCUCCUUCCACUAAGGUGAGUGAGGUCCUGAUGUGGUACUUAGUUUCUCUUUUGAUCAUGAAUUCCGCGGUGAUCACCAAGUGGUGAAAAGUUUAAGAGAUCUCGCUAACAAGGCCGGAGAUAUUGUUGAUGAUUAUCUGUUUGAUAAUCCAAUGAAGUCAAAGAUCAUUGAAUUCAAACAUGUAACACUCGGUGAUCAAAGAGAAUCACUGAUAGGGAUUCAUUACGUCCGGAAAGUAGUUAGGAAAUUCUUUGAUGGAGAGAGUGGGGUUUGUCAAGGUUUGUUGCAGACACUGCAGCUGGCUCGUUCAGUUAGACAAAUGAUGAGGAAGAUGUAUGAUAAAAGAGCUGGUGGCAAGGAAUAUUUGCAGUCAGGAAAUGCUUCACUCAGGGGCUCAUUACAGCACGAUUCAAAUAAGCAACAUAUUGUGGUUGGCCUUGAUGACUACUCGGGUAGAAUGCUGGACCAAAUUACUGGAUUUCCAUCUAGACUAGAAAUCGUCACGAUUGUUGGGAUGGGUGGCAUCGGUAAAACAACACUUGCCAAAAACAUCUUUGAUCAUCCUUACACCAUUUAUCACUACUAUUGUCGUGCAUGGGUUGCAGUGUCCCAAGUUUAUCAAGUGAGGGAUUUGUUAUUAGGCAUUUUGAGCUCUGUUGGUCAACUCAAUGCUGAAACCUAUUCAAAAACCAAUGACCAAUUAGCUGAGGUCUUGUAUAGAAGUUUGAAGGGCAGGAGAUAUUUAAUUGUCAUGGAUGAUAUGUGGAGUGCUAAGGCUUGGGAUGAUGUCAAAAGAUCUUUUCCAAAUGAUAAAAAUGGAAGUCGAGUAAUAGUAACUACUCGGUUUAACGGAUGUGGCUAUCUAUGUCAAUCCGAAAACGCCUCCUCAUUUUAUGAGCCUGCUAAGCAUAGAAGAAAGCUCGAAAUUAAUGGAAAAUAUAUUGUUUGGAGUGGAAGGUUGUCCUCCGGAGUUGGUAGAUGUUGGAAAAUAUAUAGCCAAAAGGUGCCAAGGCCUGCCACUUUCUAUUGUUGUUGUAGCUGGUCUUCUUUGCAGUAUCACGAGAACACUUGAUUCCUGUAGGGCUAUAGCAAGCAGCAUUAGUUCAUUCCUACGCACUGACGCCGAACAUUGUCUAGAAAUGCUUGCUUUAAGUUACAACCACCUACCCCCUUACUUGAAAGUCUGCUUCCUGUAUAUGGGGGCUUUCCCUGAAGAUUGUGAAAUUGAAGUGCAAAAAUUGAUCCAUUUAUGGAUAGCCGAGGGCUUCUUGGAUCCAAAAGUUCUUGAACAUCCAGAAGCAGUGGCUGUGGAUUACUUGGAAGACCUCAUUCGCAGAAGCUUAGUUUUGGUUGGAAAAAGGAGUUUUGAUGGCAAAAUCAAAACAUGCCUCCUCCAUGAUCUUUUGUGGGAACUGUGCUUAAGAGAAGCUCAGAAAGAAAACUUCUUAUCUGUGAUAAAAGGUUUUUCUGCAGGUAUAGCUGAUCAGCGCCGUCUCAGUCUCCACAAGGACUCUUAUCUUGAUGUUCACUUGGCACCCGAAAUGGCAUAUGUCAGAUCAUUUCUGUAUUUUGAUGUGGGUUCUGGCUUCGAACCAGACAUCUUAUUCUUCCAGUUGGGCUUUAAAUUGCUAAAAGUAUUGGAUGUGAUUUUUCUGCGAUUUGAAACUUUCCCUGUUCAAAUACUAGAACUGGUUCAUUUGAGUUACCUUGGACUGAUGGUCACUUUUGAGCUUCCCAAAAUGUUAUCUAGACUCAAGAAUCUGCAAACACUAGUGAUUCAUGGUCCCUGGACUAGCACAGAUUAUGCUGAGUCCCCAAAUCUGUUGUUUGAAUAUUGGAGUAUGCCAAAGUUAAGGCAUCUCUAUAUUACUGUUGCUUGCUGUUUAAGAAGUCCUUCUGUCAAAAUGGAUAUUAGUUUAUGGCCAUUCACUUCAAAAUGCAUCCAAGUUGUGUCCGGAAUUAGAUUUGCAAGCUGCACCAGGGAAGUUUUCAUCAGCAUGCCUUCUCUAAGGAUGUUAGGAUUGUCUGAAACCAAGGAAGACUAUGAGAUGGAUUGGUCAGCCAAAUGCCUAAAAGAGCUUUUCUAUUUGCAAGAACUUUGAACUUUUGAAGCUAUGCUUCUACAGGGAAAGUACAAAAAUACGGAGAAUCUUGAUGCUUUGCCAUCUAAUCUCAGGAAAUUGACCAUAAGUUGGAGCUAUCAACCAUGGCAGAAUAUGACCUCCAUUGCCUCGUUAGUUGUUACCCAAACUGGAGGUGCUCAAACUGAAAAAUUAUGCUUUCCAAGGGCCAAAGUGGGAACCAACUGAAGGGGGCUUUCGUGUUUUGAAGCACUUGCUGGUUGAGAAGACUGAUCCAGUGUCAUGGGAGGCCACAAGCAAUCACUUUCCAUGUCUUGAGCAUCUAGUUCUCAAGUCUUGCAAGUACCUGAAAGAGGUUCCCUACGGUAUUACAGAAAUUUCUACCCUGAAGCGGAUAGAGUCAUGGUUGGCCGUCGCGGGUCGCGGUCGCGGUUGUUCCACAUCUGUCACGGUAUAUCGAUUAAAUAUCGGGUGAUACGCGAGUUAAAGUAUAUAAAACUUUCAAAAAUUCUAAAAAAAAUUAUUAAAAAUAAAAAAUAAUAUAAGCAAUACAACUAUCAAAUUAAAUUUGAUAAAAAAACCUAAGUUAACAUAGAUACCAUGUAAGUCUUUAAAAAAAAUGACGUAGUUCUAAUUAAUAAACAAAAGAUGUUGAAAAAAAUCCAGUUCAUUUGUUGUUAACUAAUCCAAUUUAAUAUUUGUUGGACUAUUCUAAUCUCUUGUUCCUUUGGUGUUAGGGGGGUUGAAAUGUUGAAUGAAUGGAAACGUGAAUGCAUUCAAAAAACAGAGGAAUGAAGUUUUAGGUAUCCCCCUUUGACCAAGAAAUGUUUGUUCGGGUUAGAGAGAAAGUUGGAAAGGACGUGAGAUAGAAUCUAGUGGCCUUUGAGCUGUAAUUUAGCUGUAAUUUUUUCUUUUUCUUUUUUUUUUUGUUGGGUGUUUAUCUCUCUCUCUCUCCUCACUCCAUUCUAUCCCCUCACAUUCCCACGUACACAACCCACACUGCCUCCCAUAAUCCUUAGAAAACGUUUCCAUUCCACCGCCUUCCCCACUUUAUUUCUCUGUCUCUCUCUUCUCAAGCUCCACCACUAGGGAUGUAAUCAAGCCGAGUCGAGCUCGAGUAUCGCUAUACUCGAGCUCGACUCGACUCAUAUACACAGAAGCUCGAGCUCGACUCGAGCUCGAUCGAGUCUAAAAAAUGGAUACUCGAAGCUCGACUCGAAGAAUUUCCUUUAGGCUCGAGACUCGACUCGAUAAGGCUCGACCUUUAGUCAAGCCUUAUCGAGUCGAGUCUUAUCAAGCUUUUUGACUCGAUUUGACAAAAAAUGAGAUCAAAGGUGACGUUUUGGGAAGAUUCAAAGGCAAGCUGGAUUGCUUGACAUGAAACUUUCAAAUUCAGCAAUUACCCACCAACGGUAGGUGCCCACAAGAGCAGCAAAAAAUGGAUGAUUCUAAUUCCUCGGAUCAUAGUUCCUAAGUGUGCUGCAAAAGUUCCCAAACUAACCAAAAUUCCCCACAAAAUUCCAAAACUCAGCAAAACAUGAGCCGAGCCACCAAAUUGAGAGACAAACAAUUAUCUCAAACAGCCACAAUAUCCCAACUACCACAAGCUCAAUUCAGAAACCAAUGCCAAGAUCUAUCCAGAAAUUCCUUUUCCCCACAAAUAUCACUAAUUACUAACUAAAGAAAGCUGCUUUAAACAAGAACAUGUCAGAAAAAUAUGUUCUUGGUUCAGAAAUGGACCAUAGUCCAGCAGAAUUACAAGUGUUUGAACAGGAUAUAGAAGAAUGAAGUUGAAAACUCUUGUCACUAACCUGACCCAGCAAAGAUGACCUCAAUACCACCAUUAAAAUGCAAUCCCAGAGGCUGGAGCCUUUUACAGCAAAUUGCAACAGCUCUUUCCAGGCUGUUGAUUAGGCUGUCAUUUUAAACAGAGGAAAGAGCAAAAGAAUUGGACCCACAAGCAAAACCUCUGAACCUUAUACCACACAUGACACACUCAAAAAACAAGUUUUCUAGACAUUUAUCCUACACAUUAGCGUGUCAUUAACCAGCGGCCAGCCUGCUCACACAAUAGUCAUACAUUCGGCAAAUGAAAGAAAAAGGCUUUAAAAUAUAAACAUACUCCACAAUACAUAAUAAGUUACGUCUCAUAAAUUAACAAGGUCCAAAUUAUGAGCUAAUCUAGAUUUAGAAACAUAAAUCUUCAAAGCUUUGGCAAGUCGAAUUCUUUGAUUGUCUUGGCUUCCUACAAAAAGCAUAGAGGUAAAAACACAAAAAAAGUUACAUAACUUCCCAAAAGAAUAAAUUAACUUAUACUCAAUAACUCAAAUAUAGAAGUUUGGUAGUAAAACAAUAAAGCUGACCUUCAUCUUCUUUUUGACGCCGUGAAGAUUCCUACACCAAUCUCCUGCGCACAUCAAUACUUGAACUAUCUCGGGGUGAAGUGCUGCUCGAUAGGUGUCAAUUACUCUAGUUCCGGCACUAAAAGUGGCCUCCGAUGCAACUGUAGUUAUCAGAAUGGCCAAUAUAUCGCUAGCCAUUCGAGAAAGUAUUGGAUAUGAGAUUCGAUUUAUUUUCCACCACCCCAAACAAUCAAAUUCAUCGAGAUCUUCUCCAAUCUUUUGGCGAGGCUUGUCUAAAUAAUCAACCAAUUCUGACUUAUGAGGUUCGCUAGUCUCGACUUCAUCACAAUAUUGAUCAAAAUCACCCCAUCUAGUCUUCUUGGUCGCAUUUGUUCCUUGCCUUUGGGAAGAGCUAGAAGCCAUUGGCCCUCCUGUUGUUGGAUUCGCCGCUAGAGCAACAUACUCAUCAUAUAACUCAAAGAGCACUCGGCGAAUGGUGGAAAUGUUAUGAGAAGCCUCUGAAGGUAGAUACAUUUGAGGGUAGGUGAAGUCCACAACCCUCAUUUUCUGUCAUGGAUCUAAAAUGGCAGCCACGGCCAAUAUCAAAUUACAUUCACCCCAAUACUUGUCAAACUUAGUUUUCAUCCUUCGAACCAUGGCCCGAAUGAAGGGGUCUUCAUCAUUGACUCGAGCAUCCAGCACUUUUUUUAUCUUCACCAACUCUUGAAGGAAAAGAUUGCUCGUAGGAUAAUCUGAACUAGAAAUUAUAUGUGUGCACUCCCAAAAUUUUUCCAAGACCGAACAAACCUUUUCAGCUUUUUUCCAAUCCUCAGCAGAUGGGCAAAAAUCGUAACUUUGCUCUCUAUCUUGGAAACGGGGAAAAACAUCCUUAAAUUUGAUGGCACAAUUCAGCAUCUCAAAUGUGGCAUUCCAUCUUGUCUUACAAUCGUAAAGCAACUUUUUUCCUGGUAUAUGGAGUUGUUGCGCAAUUUCAGCAAACAUCAAUGCACGCCCCUCUGAUCGAUUCACAAAUUCCACGGAAUCCCUAAUGGCUUUGGUGAUGUCCACAAUCUCAGAAAUGCCAUCUUGAACUACAAGGUUCAAGAUGUGUGCACAGCAUCGAACAUGGAACAAUUUUCCAUCACAAAGAAGCUUUUUGGACCUGGAGAUGUCAUCUUUUAACAUUCUAACAGCUACAUCAUUGUUCGAGGCAUUAUCAACUGAUAUGCUGUAAAUUUUGUGCUCAAUGCCCCACUCUUUUGCACUUUUAAAAAUUGAAGAUGCUAUCUCAACUCCUCGGUGAGGCGGUGGUAUAUGUACAAAACUCAAGACUCGCUUUUGUAGUUUCCAAUCAGAAUCAAUCCAAUGCCCGGUGAUGACCAUGUACUAGAUCUUUUGAUUUUUUGACUUCCAAAGAUCGUUUGUGAUGCUCACUCUUUCCACAUUUUUCAACUUGUUCCUCAACUUAUUUUUUUCAAGCUCAUAUACUUGCAUACAAUCAUUUUUUGCUGUUGCUCGAGAGAUUUUCUUCCACUCUGGCACCGCUCGUUUCAUCAUAAGAUUGAAGCCUUCUUCUUCUAAUAUGGUGAAUGGAUGCUCAUGCAUUAGCACCCAAUGUGCAGCUGCCUCUCUAACUUUCUCCAUGUCAAACUUUCCGCUCAAGGGUGGCAAAGUCGGAAAAGAAUCAUCAGCUGGCUGGAAAUUUAAUUUUGUUUGCUGCUCAGCCUUUCUAAUGCUUGCUUUUCGGGCUGAACAUCUAUUCCGAUGUCUCCACAUGCUACUUGUUUGCUUUGACUUGCCUCUUGACAGUUUUUUCUUGCAAUGCUUGCAAAUGGCAUAAUUCAAUCCAUUUUCCUCAACUUCGUCAAAAUCAUCCCAAGCCUCAGAUGUUUUAUUUCUUUUAGGGAUCUGGAAUUCAUCUUCAGCUUCAGUCACUUCCCGCGUGUCUCCUCCUAUUUGACCAGUUGGUUCUUCUUCUUCUUCUUCUUGUUCUUCAAGAGCAAAUACUUGAACUCCAGCUGUUGUUGUAUCAUUACUUAUGAAAACAGGGGUAUCCAACGUGAAUGGAGUAGUUGAAUCAUGAGCAGAUGAUCGCGGGAUAGAAGAUACCUCGGGAGGACUAAUUGUCAUACCUACAAUUUACCCAUAAAGUGAAUAUAAACAUUCAUUAGUACCAGCAUAUCACCUCAAAAAAACUGCCCAACAUAUUAUACAUUUAGCUUACCAACUCCUUCGGCAUUGCCUUCUAAUCUUGAGCAACUCGUUGAAUGUCUAGUGCCACUUUGCAUUUUCUUGACAAAGAUUCUGCCCGACUGGAUUCAGAAGACAUGAAGGUAGUAAGACAUCCAAAACAGCAAAGUGUGGUCUAAGAAGGAGCAGAAAAAGAAAAAGAAUAAGCAUGUGAGGCUGCUCAAAUCCGAAUUUGGGCAAAUUCAUCACACCUAGUUGGUCAAAUCAUAACACAAAGGAUUUUGAAGUCAGUCUUAGCUAUAUUUUUGCACACCAUUAUCCUAAGUCUGAUUUUUUUAAGAGCACAAAUUCAAAUUAUUUACAUAAAUAUUGCACGAUUCCUAAAUCUGCAUCCGGUAUUUGGCGUUUGUUGAGCGCCCACAGAAUUGAAGUACUUAGAAAUCCGCAGAUGCCUCAUAUGACGCAUACUAUUACUAGCAAAUGGUGUCCAUUAUCCAGUAAAAGGAAAAAGAAAAGCCAAAGAGAUAUAGCGUCCUCACUCCUCAGGCUCUACAUCCCAACUGUCUUCAUUAAAAUUGUGUAAAACGUCUACAUAACUUCUCAGCUCCAAGCUUUAAUAGAUGAAGAGGUGUAAAAAUUAAUAAUGGAACUUAAUAGGAUUUAUCAGCUCAGCCACAGUAGGGUAAUAAAAUCUAUACUGCGUAGUUGUAAUUUGUAAAAUAACUAGAAGCUACUACAAAUUAAUGAGUUCAAAUAGUUACAAAAAUUCUGAUUUGCAAUUUGCCCACCUUCAAGAUCUGUGGGAGUUCACAUACUCCGCUUGGAAGAGGACUGCAACAAGGACACAGAAUCCUAAGACAUUUUUCUACAUACAGCACAAUAUUGAAUUCAAAAACUGUUGCUUGUUAGAUAUGGCGCUAAUUGAACUAAGCUUGACAAUGACUAAUCAAGAAGCCCUGAUCCGGACUCCAUCAGAAGGUUUUCAUUUUUCUUCGAUUUUAGUAUUUUUUUAGUUCAUCAGUAGGUUGUUUGAUAGAAGUUGUGAAGCAUCGAGGCAUAAUCCAAGAAAGUUCGACAAAGCAAAUCAUCAAGCAAAAGAUACCAGAAGAGCUGCGGUGAAAAUUACCAAGACACCAACUUUAACAUUAGAGCAGAGGCAGACAUACCAGAAUCUGGUUACCAGAUGCGAUGGCGAUGGCGAUGGAGUCUCACAGUCAGUGGUUGCCGGCUGGUAAAGUGAAAUUUUUGGCGAGGCUUUCUUCGAACAGAGAAGAAAGUCGAACAGAGAAGGAAGAAAGUCUUUUCUUUCUUUUUUUUUUAGACAUUUUUUCUUUUUAAUGUGUUAUUACUUUUUUGCCAUUAUAGGAUUUUAUUAUAAAGAAAGGUAUAUUGUAAAUUCCAUAUAACUUAUACCCAUAACGGUCAUUUUAUAAUUAUAAUAAAUAUAUAUUAUUUAAAUUAUAAAUAUUUUAUUUAAAUAACUCCGGCUCGUCGAGCUACUCGACGAGCCUCAAGCCGGGAAAAUGUGACUCGAAACUCGACUCGAUUUGUAAUCGAGCUAUUCGAAACUCGACUCGAACUCGGUCAACCCGAGUUCGAGCCGAGUUGUUGACCGAGCUACUCGCGAGCUACUCGCGAGUAGCUCGGCUCGCGUACAUCCCUAUCCACCACCAUUACCAGUUUACCACCACCCACAAAAAUCUCCAAAACCCCGAAUCCCAUAAAAUAUUUACAGAUUCAUCUUUCCACCGCCUCCCCCCCCUUUAUUUCUCUCUGUCUCUCUCUUCUCAAGCUCCACCACCAUUACCAGUUUACCACCACCUACAAAAAUUUCCAAAACCCCGAAUCCCACAAAAUUUUUACAGAUUCAUCUUACUUCCAAAUUUGCUCCAAUUCUUCUUGUUGUACUCCCAAUCUGAAGAUUAUGAUCAAUCCCAAUGAAAUUACGAGUCUUACAAUCACAACCCUCAAGAAACCUCAACUAAUUAUGAUGGGUUGCACUAGCAGAAGUGAUGGAAUGAGGAUGGCAACCGGUGGGAGAAAGAAGAAAUCAUGUGGGUGAUUUUGUUGUCUGACUCGCGAGUUGACUCGGCCAAACUCGGUAAGUUUUACUGAUUUCUUAUUGAUUUGAGUUGACUCGGUAAAUAUCGACCGAGUCAAUCCGAGUCAACUCGGAUUCCGGUGAAACGGCGAUGCGGGUGUCGGUAUCGUACCGGUGAGCCCCGUUCCGGUUAUGACUCGGCCGAGUCCGAGUUGACUCGGCCGAUUUGGCGAACCAUGGAUAGAGUUGCACAACUGUAGUGAAUCUGCAAAAAUUUCUGCUACAAGUAUUGAAGUUGAAAGCCUUGAUGUUGUCAUCAAAAGCGAUAGGCAAGUCUUUAUUUGCAUUUAGAAUCACUUUGAUUGAAACUUGAAGUUUAUGAAGUUUAUAUUGACGCACCAUUCCUGCACUUGCAUUUCCUGACAUUGUAUGGAUUGCCUGUGUCUGUGAUGCCUCCAAAAUCAUGUCACAGAUUUCAGCACUCAGCAUAAAGGGAAGCUUUGAGCUGCGGCUUGCAAUUUCAAUUUCCCAACUGAUCUGGAAUUGCUUCUUGUCAUCCAUCUUGCUGAGGCUAUUUGUAAAUGCUGCAUAAGAGAGUGGAAGGCCAGCCCCUGCCCCAUCGGAUGAAAGCGUUUCAAGGUCUUGGCAUGUACCUCAUUUAUUUUAUCUUGAAAUUGAUCUGAGAUUUUCUCCUAGUCCUAGGUAAUGAUUGAGCAGGUAGCUACUAAUACAUCUUGUUGAAUGUGAAUGGACAAGAAUCAAAUGAAUCCCAUUUGGUUCGGAAUGCUUAUAUUUUUGACAUUGAAUAAACACUAUCCCUUAGUUCUUGUGGUACCUCCCAAGUGAACUGAUAUCAAUUUUUACUUGUUUUAUUACUCAUCUUGAUGUGUUUGAAGUAAUCAUCUACUGCAUGUAAACAAAAAUUCGUCAAACUCUCUCAAUGUUCGCAAGAUUGCUUGUUCCCUUGCAGGAUAUCUUUUAAUCUUUUAUAGGGUUUUACAUAAAAAAGUUAAUAUGUUCGUUUAACAUCACCUCCUCUGUCUCCUGAUCUUUUGUGUCAGUAAUAUACACUAUUUAAAGCUGUUUGAUUUUGAGAAACAGGUUAAAAAUGGUUUAGCAUUACUUAUUUCUGUUGUCAAUAUUCAUUCCACGAGGUCAGUCCCAGAAAAGCGAGCAGGCAUUUCGGUUUCAGCUCCUAUUACAAUGCCCAGUGCAUCAGCAACCAAAACACAUCAACUAACAUUUGAUUAGUUUGAGUUUGGGGUUUUGCAAAAAAGGCACUACUACCAAAACUAAAAGAUGUUUUGUAGCAUUAUUUAUCGUGGGUACACAAUUUCAUAUUAUUUUCUUGGAUUGUAUCAAGAGUACAAUAGAUAAGUUGGACAUUUAUUUAUUUCUUAUAUAUAUAUAUUUUGACUAUGAUAAGUAUUUUGGGACAAACAAAAAUCAUAUAAAAGGGGACAUAGGGAGUAUUAUUUGGACUUCGAUCUUCCCAUGUGUCUUGGUUGGUGAAUGCGAUCAUUACUUGAGCAAACAGUUUAAUCUACAGCGUAAUGCACCAUGGGGCUUGUUCUUGUCUGAUGAUUUCACUUGAUUACUCUCAGUUCUUUAAUGUUUUUGUUUGUGUUUAUAUCUAGAUAUUAGAUUUCUUUUUAUUAGCCAGAAAAAAUAAAAGUCCAUACUCUACCAAGGAGGGAAUAGUUUUAGCUAAUUCCAUUUAUUCUUUUUUUACAAUCACUUUCCAUAAUCAACUCAUGUAAUUUCUAAAUUGCAGAGUGAGUGUCCAGAUGAAUUGGUUAAAGUUAUCAAGGAAGUUGUGAAUAAAGCACUCGAUGCUGUAAACCGUCCAAAGGAAGAUCGUCUUGUCUCAUGGUUUCUUAAACUUGAACAUGAAUUACUAGGUUAUUCUACGAGAUCAAGAAAUGCCGAGAAAAAUUCCAUUGACGAGAUGGCCAAGAAGUUUUUUGAUGGGAAGAAUGGCUUGCGCUUGGUUUUGUUGGAGACGUUAGAAAAGCUUCGUUCCUUCACGGGAGAGAUUGAUAUGAUCUGCGAGAAACUUGGUAGAGAAGAUCUUCAAUCGCAGAAUGCUUCGUUUAGCAUUUCACAGCCUAUGACGUAUUGUCCUCCUUAUUUUCCUUUAUCGAAAGGAAGAAAAAGAAAUAAAGGAAGAAGAAAGUGUCAUCGUAAGAAGACAAGCACCACGUCCAUUGCCAAUUGACAACGCGAUUGACAAAUUCUUGGAGAAGAGGAACUACAUCUACAUGAAGAAAGAAGGAAAGAAGCAAUGCUUUUGAAGUUUUCUGAAUAUCGAACUUAACUUUUUCUACACACAGACAGACUACUUUUCCUUCCUGGAAAAUGCAUAAUGACACAGACUACGUGUGUCUUCUGUAACGCAUGAUGAGCCUACAAAAUGUUCUAUUGAAAAUUAAAAGUCAGGCAAGAGUAACUCCUUGGAGAAUACUAAGCUAUGCUGCUGAUGUUCUACAACUACAAUGUGAUUGCAUACAGCAAUGCUCCUUUAUUUUGAGGGGGCUGACUUCAUAUGAAUCAGGAAUGGAUAUCUGCCUGUUUUCCUUCUCCUCAAAAGUUAAAAGAACCAUUUCUUCUUCUUUUGAUUUCUGUGGAUAAAGGAAAAGCAAAAGCACCAUUUCUCGCAGUUGGAUGUGAAAAGCUAAAAUGAAGCAUUUUGCAUUAGAAUAUCUUCUCUACCAAAUUUUCUCACAUAUCAUAUCAAUCUCUCCUGCUGUGAUGGCAUGAAACCCUCCUAACGCCUCCAACAAAACCAAGAAUGGAAUGCUUCUUGACCUUUCCUGAUCUGGUAGAAUAACCCCAGAAUACAUCUUUGAACUUUCAAAAACUCGAGAUGAGACGGUCUUUUGUCAAACAGCUUGCAGCAUCAAGUGUUUUUUUUUUUUUGAACGACAUCCCUCAUGCUUUUGACCAAUUCAGGUGAACAUUCGCACUGCAAUUCUCUCAAGCAACAUCCAAAAAAACUGGCGUACAAGUUACAGCUGAUUCACUAUCCAUUUCAUUGAAAAAGAUGAUGGUCGCCUUGAGUUCAUGACUAGCCUGAAGAAGCAUAGCUCUUGCUGCCACACGAGACGGUAGUAACACUACUAAAAUGUUGGGUAAAUCACCCCAGGCGUUGUACAAGUCAGUGUCAUUAAAAAUGCUUCACUUUCAAUAAGUUACUUCUCAACCAAAAAAAAAAAAUCAAUAAAUUAUAAUAUUAUAUAUAUAAGAUAUAUAAUAUAAUGAUAAUUUUGUUACGUGAGUUUAUCCCAUUUUUUUGGUUAUGGCAUGUUGUUAAAUAAUAAUUGACCGAGAAUUUAUGUAAUAUUUGAUGCGACUGCCGAAGUGAAGGUCCGAACUGGCCUGGUGCCUGGGGAGCGAGCUGGCGAGGCGUUCGACCUGCGCGUGAACGAGCUGCGGGGCUAAGUCCCCUGAAGCAACUCCGACGAUCAAGUCAGAAUGGAUUCGUAAGUAGAAGAGUAGAGUUUGCACUAUGAGUAGCGUACCUUGUGUUUUUCCUAUGCGUGGUAUUUAUAGAGUCACAAGUAGUAGUUUCCUGGUAGGACAAGGAGUCUUUGUUGGAGAGAAACGGCUCCUAGGGCUCCACUACCCAGCUCCGAUAAAUGCGGGCUUCGCAGCCCAUCAGGCCCAUCCGCCUGGGAGGCGGCGCCCAUCUGGACCUACGAGCUGACCUGACACUCUGACCAGCUCCUCAUGUCCGAACUCAUGGGUCGUACUGAUGUGUUUGUGGACCGGGCCGAUGUGCGCAUGGGCCCCACUACACUAGCCCCCCCUCUAGUCUAGAGUCAUCGAACAUGCGCAUGAAUCUAGGCCGACUUUCAGGGCGUCGUGUCAGCUCGGUGUGAGGCCCCCGUCGGGGAGUGGUGCAAGCAACCGUCGCGUCGGUUCGUGUCUGUCACCUCAACCGUCGCGUCGACCAGUUAUGGCGGUUAGGAACGGUUCCCCAUAAACAGUUCAAAUAUAUACGCGCCCUCUCGCUUUCCCGCCCUGAGAAUCGCCUAUAAAUAGGCCUCUUGGGCGUCAUUUUCACUCCUCCUCCUUCACUCUAUCAGUUCACUCCUUCAAUCCUUAGUUCGCUGCUUCAUCCUUUUUCCUUCGAGAACACGUCGGGUCGCCCUGCCUUAGGAGCCCAGAGUCAGUUCGCGCACUCCUUAGAUCAACCUUUCAUCCGAUCUCCUUCCAUUAGUAAGUUCCCCAUUCCUUUUUAUGUCUUCUUACAGUUCUGAUAGUUCUGACGUCACCAGUUCAGCCCCUAGGCAUAGAACAGCUAGCCCCAUACUCUUAGAUAGCAGCUCUUCAGAUUCCUUUAGUUUUUCUCCUUCUAUUUCAUUUGGGCCAGAACCCGUAGUCUCUCCCAACCUGUCCUCUGUUAGAAUAAUGAGCCCGACCAAGCGACCUGCCCAGCCUCUAACCGGAGCUGCUGAACAGGCAGCUCCAGAUCAGACGGCAGUAGGGACCUCGAGGGGGCCGAGUGGCGACUUUGGGGAGGUCGACACUAUUCCCCCAGCCCUGGAGCAAAAAGAUGUUAACGAACUGGCGGAAAAAUAUGAAAUCCCAGCCCAAUUAGAGCCCAGGGUCGCCCGUCCAGGGGAGGUUGCCAACCGACCUCCCCCUGGUUUCAUGGCGAUCUAUAGGGACCAGCUGAUGGCUGGUCUCCGCCUGCCCAUCCCCAAUUUCCUCUUCUUUAUCCUUACCUUCUGGGGUAUUCGCAUAACUCAGGUUAUUCCCAAUGCUGUUCGCUCCAUCAUAGGCUUUUUCAUCCUCUGCCGAGCACUCAAAAUCCCCUUUUCUCUUGACCUGUUCCGAGCCUUCUUCCAGAUGAAGGUCAGCGGGAAGGUGCCUGUGUGGUUCUACUUUGCCCGCCGAAGUGGAGCGAAAACCCCCACUCGCGAGGUGUUCACGGGGGCACCUUCCUCUAUCAAGGAUUGGAAGCCUCAGUUCUUUUUCGUGAAGAACCUAGGUUUUCCUCCCCUUACCUGGAGAGCAAAGACUCAAGUCUCAGAUCCCCUUCCGUCCCCGCUCCCCGUGUCCGAGCUUAGCCGCCUACUCAGCUCGGACGCGAAGCUGGACGUGAAAGAGUUCAGCAAUGACCAGCUUUGGGCGGCGGGGCUGAUCCGAGCUAGCUCCUCGGAUCCCUCACCAGAGAAUAGACCACUCUCCCCGGACGAGCUGGACACCUGUAACUAUCCUGCCCUUCCGUCUUCCUUUCCUCUUCUUUUCUUUCUUUUCUUUUUUUUUUUUAGGCAUCUACUGACCUCCUGGGCUUCUGUUUGUGCAGUGAAGCGGUUUUCUUCACUUCUGACCAUCGAAGGUACCAGCAACCCGGGCGCUACCACUCAGAACCCCUCGGCCAUCCCAACCAGCUCGGCGCCAAUUCCGACACCUCAGCCAGCUCCUGCCCAGUCCUCCAAGGCGGUUGAGGCUGGGAAGAAGAAGAAAAAGAAGACAACUGCCAAGAGAGCUAGGGUGGAGACGACCUCGUCCCCAGCUCGGAAGGAGAGGCCAACACCUGAGCCUGCUCAAGGCGGCCACUACGGCGUGAACACCGCCGAGGAACAGGCCCGGGCUGAAGCUCCCCCUAACCUGUGGCAACGCCAGAGCUCUACCCUGCUCUUCGACCCCCAGACUCGGUUGAUUACGCACUAACACCCCAUGCACUUCUGCCCCCAGUGGAAACUAUCCAUAAAUGACCGAGCACAGUUCCCCGAGGUGGCCCGGGAGCUGCUCAUGGGGCCAUCCUCCCACGGGACUACAACUUGGUUAAGGCCAUGGACUCGUCCGACCUCCUCGACUAUUACUACACGGGCACGGCUCAGGUGAAUGUCGUUGGGUCCGAGCUGGCCAAGCGCUACGAGAGCCUGCUCCCCCUGAUGAGCGAAACGAAGGCGGCCAACGAGAAACUCCUCGGCCAGAACGAAGCAGCUGUGGCCGAAGCUGAAGGCCUGAAGAAGCAACUCGCGCAAGUCCACACAAACUUCGAGCUGGAGCUGAAGAAGAACUCCGAGCUGAUCUCCCAACUGAAGGAAGAGCAACAGAAGGCAGCCGAGCUGGCCGCUCAGGCGGAGGCGGCCAGGAGGGCGUGCGGGCCUUCCUCAGGUCAGAGGACUUUAGGGGCGACCUGGCUAUCCUUAAUACCCCCGUGCUGCAACAUGGGUAUUCCCAAGCCCUGAAGGAAGUGCAAGGGCUGGGUCUGCCCGGGUUUGAUCUGGGAAACUUUCCCAGCUACAACCCCCUGGGCGUAGAGCAGCUCGACCGCCUGGUGGAGGGCUAUACGCAUGGACGGAAGCUGGCCGACCUAGUUGCUGACCCCCUGCUGCCAGUGACCACCCCCCGAAUCCGAGCAGGAGGAGGUGAACUAGAGUAGGGCUUUAGGAUAGAAUCCGAACUGUCAGUAGGCAGUUCGUUUUGUAUGAGCUCUGCUCUCCCUUGUACAGUUUUAUUGAAUGGAAUGAAAAGCCUUUCUUUUGCUUCAUACUUAGUCGCAUUUGCAAAAUUUCUUGUCAUAAGACACAUCAGUUCGGUCUUAUGCCGGCCUAAAUGAGCUAUUCUCUAAGAUAAAAUAACCAAAUACAUCGAUAUUAAUAAAAGUCUUGACCUUGAAACGAGCUGUCAUGCGCGAGUUUAACGGAAAAUGCUCAAGUUGGAAUUGUGCCAGGUACGCGGGACCUCUCCCCCACUGAGGUGAGUUAACUUGCAGUAUCCAGCUCGAUCUGCCUCUUUCACCACAUAGGGACCUUCCCAAUUUGGAUCCAGCUUGCCCGUGCCCUGAAGCCGACUCACGCUGUUCUUCCUCAAGACCAGGUCCCCUAGUUUGAAGGAUAGAGGCCUCACCCUAGCAUUGUAGUGUCGCGCAACCUGUCCUUUGUACUUAGCCAUACGUAUGGCCGCCUCUUCUCUUCUUCCUUCCAGCAGAUCCAAGUUAAGACGUAGCUCGUCCUCGUUGUCCCGAGCUAUGAAAUUCUGAACUCUGCCCGAGGGAACACCGAUCUCUGCCGGAAUCACGGCCUCUGCCCCGUAAGUAAGGGCGAAAGGAGUUUCCUGGGUGGCAGUUCGAGGAGUGGUCCGGUACGCCCAUAGUAUUGUAGGCAGCUCGUCGAUCCAUCCAGUCUGAGCAGACUCUAUCUGGGUCUUCAAGCCGUGCAGGAUGGUCCUAUUGACGUUCUCUACCUGACCAUUGGCUUGAGGAUGACCUACCGAAGUGAAGUGCUGCCGAAUUCCGAGCUCCGAGCACCAACCUUGGAGAGAGUUGUCCGCGAACUGUCGUCCGUUGUCUGAGACCAGGACCCGGGGUAUACCAAAUCGACAAACAAUGUUUCUCCAGAGAAACUUCUGGACCGACCUGCUGCUAAUGGUGGUAAGGGGCUCGGCCUCCACCCACUUGGUGAAGUAAUCCACAGCCACCACUAUGUGUUCAUAGCCCCCAGGAGCUCGAGGGAACGGCCCCAGCAGGUCUACCCCCCAUUGGAAAAAGGGCCAAGGGCUCUGAAGAGGCACCAUCUCUUGAGUUGGGGCAUGGUGGAUCGGAGCAUGCAGUUGGCAGGAUUUGCAUCGGGCUACCAGCUCGGCUGAGUCCAAGAAGAUGGUGGGCCAGUAAUAUCCAAACAACAUUCCUUUUUUGGCCAGAACCCUCUGGCCGACAUGGUUCCCGCAGAUACCCUCAUGUAGCUCACGCAGGAUAUAGUCUCCUUCCUCUGGAGUCACGCACCUCAACCAUGGACGUAGAUAUGAUUUUUUGUAAAGUACCCCAUUCGAGAGCUCGUACCCCCGCGACUUGAGAAGGACCCUUCGUGCUUCUACCCGACUUGAGGGGAGCUCUCCGUUGGCCAGGUAGCGCACGAGGGGAUCCAUCCAGGAGCUUACUACUUGAAUAACGGUCGCAUCUACCUGAUCAUAUGCCCGAUUCCUGACGACCUCCACCAAGACCUCUUUGUUCAACGUGCCCACUGAGGUGGAGGCUAGCUUGGACAGUGCGUCUGCCCUCUUAUUUUGGCUUCGCGGGACCUGCUUGAGCGUGAACAGUUUGAACUGAGCUCUCAGCUCAUGCAUUCUGGCGACGUACCUUCUUAGUGGCUCCUCUUUAACUUCAUAACUUCCCCCUACCUGAUUUACUAUCAGUUGCGAAUCACUGUAGACUUCUAUUGAUUCGGCCCCCAACUUUCGAGCUAUCAUCAUCCCCGCGACCAGGGCCUCGUACUCGGACUCGUUGUUGGAGGCCCUGAAAUCAAAUCUCAGGGCGUAGGCCAAUUCAUCCCCCAUGGGGCUGGUCAAGAGAAGUCCCGCUCCGCAUCUUUCCUUGCUCGACGACCCAUCCACGAACAGCGUCCAGGUCGGAAUGGACUGACCUACCUUUCCGGCGGCCUGCUCGACCUCCACAGCAUUUCUGACCUGUCCGGCCUCCGCUGUGUUUCCAUUCGGCUCGUCCUUAGCUUCCUUUGUGGCCUAUAUGACCUCGACAGGUUAUCCGGCCUGCUUGGCCUCGGUUGCGUAUAUGGUCUGUUCGGCCUUGGAAGUCUUAGUGGCUUUCGUGACCUCGGCAGCUUCUCCGGCCUGUCUGGCCUCAGCUGCGUUUUGGGUCGGUUCGAACUUGGCGGCCUGGGCGAACUUCGGCAUCUUCUCCGGCCCGCUCGGCCUUAGCUACGUCUCUGGUCAGCUCGACCUCCGAUUCCUGUUGUCCAAAGAAAAUUCCUUCGGCUAUGAAGUCUGCCAAUGCUUGGGCUUUAAUGGCCGUGCAGGGUUGGUAGCUGAGGUCGUACUCGGACAGCUCCACGGCCCACCUCACCAUUCUUCCCGAUGCAUCAGGCUUUGAAAGAAUUUGCUUGAGAGGCUGGUCAGUCAUUACUAUCACGGGGUGAGCUUGGAAAUACGACCUGAGCUUCCGGGCCGCGUGAACUAAUGCCAGAACAUACCGCUCAAUCGAGGUGUACCUUGGCUCCGCGCCCUGCAGAGCUCGGCUGACAUAGUAUACGGGCUUCUGGAUUUUGCCUUCUUCCCGAACUAGCACCGCACUGAUUGCCUCCUCCCCCAUUGAUAGAUAGAUAAAUAAGGUUUCUCCUUGUGCGAGAGAGGUCAAGGCUGGCAACUGAGCGAUGUGGGCUUUUAGUUCGUCAAACGCUCACUGGCACUCGGGGGUCCACUCAAACUGGGGACCUCUUCGCAAGGGCUUUGAAGAAGGGGAAACCCCGAACUGCAGACUUCGACAAGAACCUGUUUAAGGCCGCCAUCCUGCCAGCUAGCCGCUGGACCUCUUUUAUGUUUCGGGGAGGAGCCAUGUCCAGGAUAGCUUUUACCUUGUCGGGAUUAGCUCUUACCCCGUCCUUGGAUAUCAUGUACCCAAGGAACUUGCCCGACCUAACCCCAAAGGUGCACUUCUUGGGGUUCAGCCGCAUCCGCGAGCUCCGUAGGACGCCAAAGAUCUCCCUGAGGUCGUUGAUGAACUGCUCCUGAGUUCGGCUUUUCACCAGCAUGUCAUCUACGUAUACCUCCAUAUUUCGGCCGAUCUGGUUUCUGAACAGCUUGUUGACCAGCCGCUGAUAGGUCGCGCCAGCAUUCUUUAACCCAAAUGGCAUGGUGGUAUAACAGUACGUGCCGUACUCGGUGAUGAAGGCAGUCUUCUCCUGAUCCUCCUCAUCCAGGGCUAUCUGAUGAUACCCUUUGAAGGCAUCCAGAAAGCAAAAAAUCUCGCAUCUGGUAGUCGAGUCUACCAGCUGGUCGAUGCGAGGGAGAGGGUAACAAUCCUUCGGACAAGCUUUAUUCAGGUCGGUGAAAUCCACGCACAUCCGCCAAGCCCUGUCCUCCUUUUUGACCAGCACAGGGUUGGCCAGCCAGGUCGGAUAGUAGAUCUCUUUCACAAUUUUGGCCUCCAACAGCUUGCCUACCUCCUCUUUGACGACCUCGUUGCGUUCAGCCGCGAAGUUUCUCUUCUUUUGCUUCACUGGCCGGAUGCUCGGGUCCACGUGCAACUUGUGAACUGCCAGUUCGGGAGGAACUCCGGGCAUGUCGUCAGUACUUCAAACAAAAAUCUCGGCGUAUUCCUCCAGGAGAGACUCCAGGGCUCUCCGCGUUAGCUCGUUUAGGCCGGAUCCAGCCCUAACCACACGAUCAGGUCGUUCGGGGCAGAUAGACAAUUCAACCAGACUCUCGUCCGUCUCCAACCUCUCCUCUUUUUCAGCAGGUCCCCAAGGUUCCAGAUAGGCUGCCUGGGCUACCAGCUUCUCCUUACCCUUGAGGGUUGCGAUAUAGCAGGCCCGAACUACCUCCGGGUCUCCCAGCACCUCGCCCACUCCAUCGGGCGUUGGAAACUUCAUGCUAACGUGUAAGGUCGAACAGACAGCUCGGAGUGCGUUUAGGGUUGGCCGUCCUAGUAUCAUGUUGUAGGAGGAUGGCUCCUUUACCACCGCGAAAUUCACCGGAACAGUUCGGCACCUCGAUGACUCCCCUACAGUGACCAUGAGGGUUAACAUUCCCUCUGGCCUUAUUGGCGGACCUGCAAAACCUAUCAAAGGAGUACGAACUGGGAUGAGCUGCUUAUCUUCCAGCUGCAGUUCUCUGAAGGUCUUGUAGUACAACACAUCGAUGGCGCUCCCAUUGUCGAUGUAUACCUUCUUUACUUUGUAGUUACACGUGAUGACUUCUAUCACAAUUGCCUCAUGGUUAUUGAAGGCUAAGGGUACCGCAUCCUCUGGCCCAUAGAUGAUCUCCUCGUACAACUUUAAGUGCUUGUUCGAGCUCUCCCCACUGGGGGGAGGUCGAUUAUUUCGCCGAGCCGUAUGGCUAUCUCCCCCAGCAGGUCCCCCUGCAAUAGUGUUGAUCACUCCUGCUAGGUUCUGAACUCCCUGCUCUGGAGUUCGAUCACGAGAACCCCGAGGUCGGUCGUGCGAGCUGGUCGCCCGAUCUCGUUUGAACCCCCCUUGCUUUUGAUCAGUUCGCCCCUCACGGACAAACUGGCCAAGAUGACCUCUUCGUAUCAGCUUUUCGAUUUCCUUCUUAAGAUGGCGGCAGUCCUCAGUAUCGUGCCCGACGUCCCGAUGGUAAGCACAGUACAGGCCUUGGUCGCGCUGGUUUUUGUCGCCAGCCAGCGGCUGAGGGGGGCGGGAGAGCCCUUGUUGUUCCAUUACGGCCAGAACCCGAGCUCUUGGUGCCGUGAGCGAAGUCCAGGCUUUUUCCUUUUCCCAUGGUCGGCUCCGAGGUAAGCGCUCAGAUACGCUCUUCCGCCCCUGACCUGGUCUCGACUCUCCCAGGUCGGUACCCCUCCUGCACUUGUCGUCUCGCAACCUCUCCUGGGCGCCCUUCAGUCGAUUGGCCUCCUCGGCGUUCGCCUUCUCAUGAGCUCGGUCUAACAUCUCCCGGACGGACUUGGGAGGUCUUUCUACGAACUCCGUAUACAACUUCUGUUUGCGCAACCCAUUGACGAAGGCGGCCAUCACCACCUUGUCAUCUCGGUCCCGAACCUGGAGGGAUUCAUUGUUGAAGCGUACCAUAUACUCGCGCAACGACUCCUCGGGCCCUUGAUGAACAGUCAUCAAAUGAGCCGUAGUUUUUGAGAAGGCGCGCGAGGAGACGAACUGAGCUGCGAACAGCAGCGCAAGCUGGCUGAAUGACCGAACUGACCUGGGAGGCAACCCCUGGAACCACUACCGGGCCUUUCCUUCCAGGAACAUCGGGAAGGUCUUGCACCUGACCGCAUCAGCAGUCGUCUGCAGGCGCAUCUGAGUCAGAAAUGCGAACAGGUGAUCUUCCGGAUCUGUGGUCGCGUCAUAGGACUUCAUGGACGGUAUCUUGAACUUUGCCGGCAGGGGAUAGUCUUCGAUAUCCGGCACGAAGGGAGAGGCUGUGUACCUGUCCGACUCUGGAUCCAGCAUGAGGUCCAGUUCAUCCUGGAUCUGGUAUUCCUCCUUCCUGUGAGGAACCUCCACCCGUGAGGGCCUCGGGACAGGCUCCGGAUGACUAGUUCGGGAGUUCCUGUGAGAGGGCUCCGGAACCUGGACCCGUUCACGCGUGAGCUCCUUUCGUGCCCUCUUCGGCCGAGGGCCAGGGCUCCCUGAUCGGGAUUCCGAACUCCCUGUUCCGUCAGCUUUUCGCACCCGGGGCUCCGGACUGGGAGGGACUCCGGAUUGCCCCAUUUGGUAUUUCACAAUGGCCUCGAAAGUAGGCAAGUUCGCCGCUACAGACUGCACCAGCUGUUCUGGCGAGAUCCGCGAGAGCUCGUUCCUUUCAUUCUCCACGAUGGUAUCCUGGUGGACGUGCUGAGGGUCACCCUGCCCAUUCCCCUCAGAACCAUCCACGUUCCUCUGAGACCUAGUCUUCGGCAUGUUGUUCGCGAAAAAAAGAGAAUAGUUUCCCACAGACGGCGCCAAUUGAUGCGACUGCCGAAGUGAAGGUCCGAACUGGCCUAAUGCCUGGGGAGCGAGCUGGCGAGGCGUUCGACCUGCGCGUGAACGAGCUGCGGAGCUAAGUCCCCUGAAGCAACUCCGACGAUCAAGUCAGAAUGGAUUCGUAAGUAGAAGAGUAGAGUUUGCACUAUGAGUAGCGUACCUUGUGUUUUUCCUACGCGUGGUAUUUAUAGAGUCACAAGUAGUAGUUUCCUGGUAGGACAAGGAGUCUUUGUUGGAGAGAAACGGCUCCUAGGGCUCCACUACCCAGCUCCGAUAAAUGCGGGCUUCGCAGCCCAUCAAGCCCAUCCGCCUGGGAGGCGGCGCCCAUCUGGACCUGCGAGCUGACCUAACACUCUGACCAGCUCCUCAUGUCCGAACUCGUGGGCCGGACUGAUGUGUUUGUGGACCGGGCCGAUGUGCGCAUGGGCCCCACUACAAUAUCCAAUAUGAAAAAAUAGAUCCAUGUGAUUAAAAUAAUUUUUAAAUUUUAUCUCAUGUUAAAUUUUUUGCUAAAUCUAUUUUUAUCAUUGGUGUUAUACAUAUAUAAAAAUAAAGUCACGUAAAAAGUAAAGUAAAAGUGGGGGUUGGGGCACCAGUGGCGUGGCGGAUGGAGCGGAAGGCGGAGGAAUUUUUUAGGUAAUAGAACGGGUCCCAGCCACGCAGACGCUGCCAAGCGUAAGUGUAUCCUGUUUUGAUUGAAGCUAAAAAGUGCGCCUAAAUGCUAAAUUCCCCGGUAAACCCACCGGGGCUAAAGUUGUAAUGUGAAUUUGGCUCUUUGUGGACUGAAGUUUGAAUAGAGUUGACCAGUGGGCUAUAAAGAAAAGCUCCCCGCUUUCAUGGUUUCUUGUCUACUACCGGUAGUAAAUUUUCCGAUCAGCCGCGACCAGAAAGCUUCUUCUACUUCAAAAUUGAACUAUUGGUACGAUCUUUUUUUGCUUUUAGUAAUUCUUUGAUCUUACUCUUUGGAUUUCUUCUUUCUUGAAAUCAGAUAACUAAUGGAGCUUUUCCAUCCUGUUGAUCAGAGAUGGCGACUUAUGCUGCACUGGCUUCUCUUCUGCAAACACUGGAUUAUCUACUGAAGUUCCCGUUGUUGAUCCUCGAAGUUAAGAAAAUGAAAGCCGAAGGUCUCAAACCAAAACUCGAUGAACUCUUAUUGCUUUUGACGGCAGGAGAACCCUCCGCAGUGUCGAGCUCGAGCUCCGGCUCUUGUCUGUGGAAGCUAAUUGAAGAAACUGAUCGAUCUCUGCAAUCAUCUGUAGAAGAUUUUAUUGAGGCACUUGGGAGGUCUCAUGCAGCUGAUACUUCGGAGAUCAGACAAAGAUUGCUACUAUACUUUACUAGCAGUACAAAGCCAAAAUUUGAACUUCUUGCGGAGGGAAAGCCUCAAAUAUUCAAGGAGAUCACAUCCUUUGAGGAAAAUUUGAUGAAAUUUCUCCACACCACUGUUCAAGACUGCUUCUCAGGCAGGCCUAACCAUUUCUUGUACCGAUAUGGCCAUGUGGAAGAGGAUCUAAAUCCUCGAGAAUUGCCAGAUUUUUUUAUACAAAUUGUAUAUUCUCAAGUAGACAGUGAAACACCAGUAGAUGAUUCCCUGUUCUCCUCACCAAGCAGUGAGACUGAUGACCCCUACGUCGACAAACUUGACUCGACCGUACAACAUUCAAAUGGAACCAUCUCCUUUCCAGACCUUGAACAGCUGUUGUCGUUGGCAUUUCGCCAGAGCCGACUUCCAGUAAUUGUUAACAAGAUGGGACAUUUGUGGAGAACCUGUCAUCGGGUCGAUGACAGCACACUAGCUUCUCGAAAGCCACUUCCGAUUUAACAACUCUCCACCAGGAUAUUCGGUUCUUGCUAACUUUUCUUAAGGAGGAUUCUUCUAAUAAAUUCUGCCCUCAUCAUGAAUUGCUGAAAUGUAUGAAAGAUGUUGCAGAUAGAGCAAGGGUUCCUGUCGAACAAUGUAUGGUAGACUACCAAAUCGAGUCCAUUAUGACGUACCCCUUUUGCUUAUUGGCUGGGAUUCCUGCAAAAUUACAAGAUUCUGGAAAGAUUCUUGAGUGUGCAGUGGACAGGAUUUUCUACGGAAAGAAGGGCAUUUCCCAAUAUUUGGUGCAGGCAUCAAUGCAGAUUCAACCCAUUAAAGAAAUGAUUACAAAGAUAAAUGAUGAGAGUUCAAGUGCGCACACAUCAAUUGGCAGCAUGUCUCUACGCCAUUCAAAUAAGGACGACAUUGUGGUGGGUCUUGAUGAUGAACUGGUUAGCCUCCUGGAGGGACUCACCAGAGUGCCAUCAGGGCUAGAAAUUGUGACCAUUUUAGGGAUGGGCGGCAUUGGUAAGACAACUCUUGCUCGAAAAGCUUUUCGUCAUUCUUACACUGAAUAUCACUUCUAUUGCCGUGCAUGGGUCACAGUUUCCCAAGUAUAUCAAGUCAGAGAUUUGUUACUGGGCCUUUUGGGCUGUCUUGGUCACUCCACUGAUAAAUUGGUAGAGAAAAACGACGCUCAAUUAGCUGAAGUUGUGUACAGAAGUUUGAAAGGUAAGAGGUACUUGAUUGUUAUGGAUGACAUAUGGAGUAUCGAUGCUUGGAAUGAUGUCAAAAGAUGCUUUCCUGAUGACAAAACUGGUAGUAGAAUCUUAUUAACCAGCCGCGUUACAGAGUUGGCUAGCUACAUCAAUGCAAAGAAGCCUCCUCAUUGUAUGAGUCUUCUGGAUACUGAGCAGAGUUGGGAACUGUUGGAGAAGCUUGUAUUUGGGAUAGCAAGUUGCCCGCCUGAAUUGGAGAAAUGUGGAAAGCUUAUAGCUAAAAGAUGCCAAGGACUACCACUAGCAAUUGUUGUAAUGGCUGGUGUACUUUCACGUGUCGUCAAGACAUAUGACUGUUGGAAUAAUUUUGCAGAGAAGGUAUGCGCAAUCAUCUCCACUAAUCCAGAAGAAUGCCUGGAUAUACUUGCUUUGAGUUACAAUUAUUUGCCCCAUCAUCUCAAAGCCUGCUUCCUCCAUAUGGCGGCUUUCCCUGAAGACUGUGAAAUAGAAGUUCAAAAGUUGAUUAAUCUAUGGGCUGCAGAGGGAUUCUCGGAUCCCCAAUCUUCAGAAAAUCUAGAACAGGUGGCAGAGGAGUAUUUGGAAGACCUUAUUGGUAGAAACUUAGUUUUCAUUGAAAAGGAGUGUUUUGGAGGAGAAGUCAAGACCUGUCGUCUCCAUGAUUUCUUACGUGAAUUAUGCUUGAGAGAAGCACAGAAAGAGGACUUCAUGCAUGUGAUACAAAAGAGAGGUACCAAACGCUCUCGAGUAGGCUUGCGUAAUCAGCAUCGCCUCAGUUUCCAUUUGGAUCCUUACAAUGAUGUGGCUGCGGCACCUGGAAUCCCACACGUCUCGUCUUUUAUGUGUUUCACAUUGGGUACUAAUAUUGUUCCGAAUAUUCUGUUCUUUCAAUUAGGCUUUAAGGUGCUUAGAGUAUUAGACAUAUUCUUUCUGCAUUUUGAUUACUUCCCUGCCCGAAUACUAAAACUGAUUCAUUUGAGGUAUCUUGCGCUCAGUGCUACUUAUGAGCUUCCUGCAUCAGUAUCACAAC